rnacentral:lncRNA from 1 species
UAGACCUUCAAUGAUUGCUUUGACAACCCUAAUCUCCUCAAAAGUGUCUGAUACACACACCCAUAUAACUUUUUCAAAAUUUCUUUUCACCUCAUCAUUAUUAUAGGCUAGUUGUGCAAGAGUGGUUUUACCUAUACCCCCUAACCCAACUAGUGAGAUGACAUGAAGGCCUUUUUGUUGUUCACUACUUUCACACAACAACUUGCUUAAGAGCUCAUUUUUCUCAUCAACUCUACCGCAAACCUCUCCCUCAUCAAUCAAGGAGGUGGUUCGCACUCGCUCUGGUUUCUUAACAUUGUUGCUCACAUUCUCAACAAAUUUAAACGUAUCUUUUUGGGAGGCAAUAUCAUCUAGCUUUCCAUUGAUUUCCCUAAUCUUGACGGCAAUGUCAUGACGAAGACUAAGUUGUUUGAAACUACCAAAGCAGUUUGAUACAGCACAAAAGAAGGAGCGUACCUUCUUCUUAUGAGGAGCAAGAGCAAGAGCAUUGUCAUCAUCAACGCCCUCAAUCUGCAAUUUGAGCCUUGCAGUGGUCCACUCCUCCAACACGUCUUCCAUGUCGUAAGAUGCGUCUUUGAGCUGAUCCAGCCAAAAAGUAACAGCAUUGUCGCGCUGCAUUUGCCUUUUCUCUGCAUCUUCCAGCACAGCUCGAAUGGCUCGAAGAUUGCUGGUAAGCUUUUUCACUUCUUCUCGGACACCAGUCACAAGCCUCACGUGUUGUUUCACUUCAUCAGCCGCAACGGAGAUCAGCUGCUCCAGGAGAGAGGAAACGAUCGCAUCAACCAUUCUGACAAAGAAAACGAGAAUUUUGAUGAGUUAUUAGAUGUGCUUUUGUUGCGAAGAUAUGAAAGAAAAGGAGUUAUUGCGUUCUUUUAUACUGCAUAGAAAAAGCUUAUGCUUAUCCCCACCCCACACGUCAAUGAUUGUAGAAUGUUUAUUUUCCCUGAUUCUACUCCACUAGUUGUGAUGCGUAAUUAUAAAUAUUCUCAAGUUAUGUAUGAAAAUAGCACAAAUUUGGAUCUAGUAAUGAUUUUUAUGUACUUUUUCAUCAUCUUCUAAAAUACCAUCUCUGCAUGUGCACGAAAUAUGGAAUUGGGUGAAAAAAGUUAUGCUUAUCCCCACCCACACGUUAGUAAUUGUAGUAGCAUCUUUAAUUUCCAUGAUUCUACUCCACGGACGAACACAUUUUUUGUAGUAACAUCUUUAAAUUCCCACACGUUAGGAAUUUGGCACAUAUCUCAAACUCGUCGCAUCUUUAACGUAUGAAGUUGAUGAAUAAAUUCUUUUCUCAUGUCAAUUUAAAACUCCGAGAUUAUGUGCCAAAUUCCUAACGUGUGGGAAUUUUACCUCCUAAGUAAUCCGGCCCACUACCAAGUGCCAACUUUUUCUCUGUCGAGUUAAUGAUGUUGUUUUGUUUUCCUUGUUUUAAUUAAUGUUGCCGAGAGAAACAGAUCGAUGCAAAUGGCUAGCCAGGUUUUGCAGAAACCGUGAAUGGUCUUGCAUGUGACAUAAAGCUUAAUCAUGUAUAUAUGUGUGUUGACACUUGCCAGUUCAUUUUUGUUAUAAAGAUUAUUGAUACUCAUAAAUGUACUACUUACAAAUCAUAAAUUUUGAGUUUGACACUUUAGUUUCAUUUUGUAAUCCCUACACUCUUUAAAUAUUUGUAACAAUAUAUUUCAAACUUUAACUCAGACGUAAUGAAUGAAGGGGGAUCCUCUUCUUAUAUAAAUUUUUAUUUUUUAACGUUCAAGUUACAUUUGAUUACGUGUACUUAUUAUCUAGUUUUGACUAUCUAAUUACAUUUGAUUACGUGUACUUAUUAUAUAAUUUUUUUUUGAAAUGAUGGAUCUGGUGAGAUUUUUUACAUCUUGGAUCAGUAGGUCAAGAACAGGCAGGGCAGGGCCUUCUCUGAAGUCAAUCUUGUGAGCAACACCAGCUUUUUGGAUAAUUGGCAGCCCCAAUUCAUAAUUUUCUCUAUUGAUGUCCAUGGCCAAAAUCUGCAACCGAAGCUUAUUCUACUCUUAUUAAUCGAGAGAUAAUUUUACCUCUAACUAAUUUAAUUGGGAGGAAAAUCGAGAGAGAUAUCCACUUUGUCCUUAUUAAUUGAGAGAUAAUUUUACCCUUACCCAAUUUAAUUGGAAAGAAAAUCGAAUUCCAACAAUAACUAGGACUCGAAUCCAUGCACUUAAGCUAACUUUAUGCUUUUGGACGCAUGGUUAUAAUGUUCUUUAUUUAAAUCCUAACAAAUGGUGGGACUUGAACUUGUGCCUACAAACAUUGAGUGCUUAGGGGCUGCAAAAUUUCAUAACUUAAUUUUAGUUGAUGUGGCAUGUGCCCUAUCACAUCAAUGUAGAUAAUAAUAAUUAAUACAUUAACAAAAUGAAAAAUAUUAGUUUACAAAAUACAAAUCCAAAUUUUUUGUGUGAGAGGGGAUUUAAAAGGGAGAGACUAAACAAAUGUGGUGAAAAACGACAUGUAUUACUACAACUGAAAAUACGAAGUCUAGGCAAUUGAAAACAUCGGGUUUUUUAUUUAAAUAUCCCCAAUUUGUCCUUAAAUACCAAAUUUAUACCCUAUUAUAUACAUAUACCUCACGAAGAUAGGGAAAGUAAAAAAUAACCUAAAAAAAUCAGGAAUCCGCACAUUUCUUCCUCUUAGUUCAGAAAGAUGUCGAGUACGAAGUCGGGUAAGUCGAGAAUUUAGUCGAGCAAGAAUUGGAGAUAAGUAAGUCAAUUAGGAAGUUGAGUAAGCAUAUUAAGUGAGUCGAGUAUUAAGUGGUUGAGUAUUAAGUAAAAGUCAAGUAAAUUUUUUGAACAAGUCGAGUAAAAUUUAUGUAAUUUUUAAAGAGGUCGAGUAUUAAGUCGGGUAAGUACAUUGGGUCGAGUAUUAAUAUUUUUAAAGAAGUGAAGUCUGAUAAGUUGAGCAUUUAGUCGAGUAAGAAGUUAAGGCAAUUGAAUAAGUCGAGUAUCUAGUUGAGUACAAAGUCGGGUAAGUUGAGCAUUCAGUCGAAUAAGAAGUAAAGACAAUUGAAUAAGUCGAGUGUCUAGUCGAGUACGAAGUCGAGUAUGAAAUCUGGUAAGUUGAGCAUUCAGUCGAGUGAGAAGUGAAGGCAAUUGAAUAAGUCGAGUAUCUAGUCGAGAACGAAGUCGGGUAUGAAGUCUGGUAAGUUGAGCAUUUAGUCGAGUGAGAAGUGAAGACAAUUGAAUAAGUCGAGUAUCUAGUCGAGUACAAAGUCGGGUAUGAAGUAUGGUAAGUUGAGCAUUUAGUCGAGUAAGAAGUGAAGGCAAUUGAAUAAGUCGAAUAUCUAGUCGAGUACGAAGUCAGGUAUAAAGUAUGGUAAGUUGAGCAUUCAGUUGAGUAAGAAGUGAAAGUAAUUGAAUAAGUCGAGUAUCUAGUCGAGUAAUCAAACCAAUUUUCUCCAUAGAGUCUUCAAAGUCAACCUAAAAAUGAAAUGCAGGUGGAAAUGAAAAUUCUAUAAACUAAAUAAAAUAAAAUGCAAUUCUUGAGCUUGAGCUUGCUUUUACAUCAUCAUAAUAGUGAAUUUUGAUACAUCUUUACUUUUCUGUUCUUGUUUAUUCACAACAAGAUAUCAAUAAAAGAAGAUGGAAAUGAAAUUCUAUAAAAUAAAGCAAGUGAAUUACCAGAAGAACAUUUUAGCAAUCCUUUGGCUAAAAUUUUCAUUUUCUUAGCAUACUCUCCUGCCUGUGAAUUGCUAGUGUGGUUCUAACAUUUCCUCGAAUCCCUGGUGAACAUAAUUAAACUCGUAUGAAAUAAAACAAAGUGGGCUAAUGUACUACUAAAAACAAUUACACAAUUACUUUAAAGAAUUAGUGUCUGUUUGGUAUGGCUUAUUUAAGAGGCAUAAGUGCUUAUUUAAUCGUAUAAGCACUUUUUAAAAAUUUUUAUGGUGUUUGGUUAUUUUUUUUGCUUAAAUAAGGUAAUUUACCUCUACUAGCAAAAGUCCAAAAUUUGAGCUUUUGGGAGUAGAGGUUAUAGAGCUUUUCUAAAAAUAUAUAAUAUAAAAAAUAUCACACAGUUUAAUGGUUCAAAAGUGAUUUUUUUAUUGACAACCAAACACCCAAUGACUUUUUUGACCAAAAGCUUUAUUAGUAUAAGCUCUGCUGCUAUAAGCUCUACUGUUAUAAGCUCUAUUUAAUAAGCUGUACCAAACAGAGCCUUAAUGUCACAUAAAUUAUAUAUAAAAAAAUACGAUUAUCAUUAUACAAGAUAAAAUUGAUAAUUUAGUUUUCAACAUUACUGCAAAUGUAUCACAGACAUUUUGUCUCUCAGCGAGUUACACAUAACAAAUUUUCGUACAUUAAAAAAUAAAUUGCAUUGGGAUUUUCUAUGAUAUUGUAUGAAAUUUUACAAAAGAGCACAUAUUUUUUUAAAGUAAAUAAAUAUAGAAAUUUCAGCAGACUACACUUGUAUUUUUUUAUUAUUUAAUUUUUAGAAAACAAGUUCAACAGAUUUGAUCACUAGGAAGUUUUACAUAUUUAUACCAAGAUUGAUUCUAUAUAGAAUCUUAAUUCAAAAUAUAAUUAUUUUUAUUAAUUUCAUUGCAAGCAACAAUGAAGUAAAUCAGAGGAGGAGAAAUUACCAGCGAGUGAUAUCUUACGGCGACCAAUUGAUGUGGGGAAUGUGGGAUAUCUUAUGCCAGUCUUCUCCUUUCCCCUCUCUUAACCCCAAAUUGUCAAUGUCUGCAGUGUCGUUGUUUGAAGUAACAACAAAGUAAAAUACAGAGAAAUUACCGGUAGGUGAUAGUAAUUGCAACCAUUCGAGAAUUUACCACUCGAUGUGGGGAAUGUGAGAUAUCCUAUGCCAGUCUUCUCCUUUCCCCUCUCUAUAACGGUUUUCAAGAAGAGGACAUCCCUCAAUACUCAAUUCCUGCAGCGUCGUCGUCCGAAGAAGGUAAUCCGGCAGCACCUUUAAUUUGGGGCAAUACCAAAUCGUCAAGGAAGAAAGAUGUGGUAUGUCUGUUGUCCUGCGAUCUUCUAGAAUGGGCAGUUCUUCCAAAUUUUCACAAGCAUGAAUAACCAGUACCUGCAGUUCCGUCGUUUGAAGAAGGUAAUCCGGCAGCGCCUUUAAUUUGUUGCAAAAACCAACUUUUAAGGAAGAAAGAUGGGGCAUGAUGGAGAUGUUUUCCUUCCUCGUAAUCUUGUAAUUCCACUCUUCCAAUUCUUCCAAUGCUACAAUUUCGAGUGAUUUCAAUUUGGGGAAGGCAAUAACUGAUGAUGACGAUGAAGAUGAAGAUGGGCCAUCCUCACUGCUUUCUUCUAUUCCCAAAAACUCAUUACCCACUCUUUUUACACUUUUCAAGUGGAUGAUUACGAGUUUUUCCAGAGGUAAUUUUCCCAAAGGAGGCAAAUGCUCACAGUUAAAACACGAGGAAAGAUAUAAAUUCCUUAGAUUGGUUAGUGAAGUCAACCAUUUGGGAAAAAUGUUGCCUCGGUAGGAUUCAAUCUCUAAUUUCUCUAAAUUCACAGGCGGUUGUAAGGCUUCAAGAAGUUGUUUAUCUUUCUCAUUCUUCCUCCUCCCUUCUUCGCCUUCCCCAUCUACGACUCUACCAAACUCAAGAUGCAAACGAAGGAGGUUUUUCUUAUUGUCUCAUCUACAUGCGAUACAUUACUCAGCCCUUCUACUCUACAUUCACGAAGGAGUUGAAGAUUUUUCAGAGAUUCAAGCCUACACGUGCUGCCACCAUCAACACCUCCACCCACAACAAACUUUUCUAAUGUUCGAAGGCUGGUCAAUCUGGAAAUCCCUAUUGGCAUGUACUUCAACGAAUAAGUUUCACCAUUCAGUAAACUCCUCAUGUUCUUUAACUUCCCAAUCCUCGCAGGCAAUUCUCUAAGACUUGGGCACCGCCUAAUAUCUAGCUUUUGUAAAUUAUAUAAUUCACACAAAGUCUCAGGUAGUCUCUCUAUACAUAGUCCAGACAAAUUAAGAUAUUUUAAAUGUAUCAAUUUUCCAACAUUUUCUGGAAUUUCUGUAAUCAAAUUUGGAUCUGAACGCAAACGAAUGGACAAUUGGCUUAUAACUAAUGCCCUUAAACACGCCAAUUUUCUAAAUAACUCCCGAAGGAUGCUGCGAUUAAGACUCCUAUUGGAAUAACUUCUAUCAUAAAUUAAGAGGCUACGCAAUCUAUCAAAUUCAAAAAAGGACAUAGUAAAUGAAGCGCCUCCUUCAAACUUUAACCCUAAGUGACGGACUUUCUCACCAAAAGAGUUUAUGACUGAUUCCUUGGUACCAUUAAUUUCUAGCCACAAACAUUCUUGCCUACUUACAAAUUGAGCAAAAUCAUAUACUAUGUCAUGCAUCUUGCAACUCAUAAUAUCAUCAUCGUCAUAAUAUUUUUCAAACUCUUGAAAGAAAGAGCGUGUUGCUAAGAUGUUGAAAUACUCUUCUCCAAUCAUCUCCAUUUCUUCGUCUUCAUCUGCAUUAAGGUAACUUUGAGCCAUCCAUAGAUUAAUCAAUUCCCUUUUAUUCAUAUUGUAGUCUUUUGGAAAGACAGCACAAUAUGAGAAGCACCGUUUUACCAUAGAAUUAGAGGGCAAAUCGUUAUAACUCAACAACAAAGGAGCCAAAAUACCUUGCCCAAUCUCUUCUACUUUCCACAUUUCACUAUCUAAAAUUCUUUGCCACUCUUUUACUAUACUUUUAGAGCGCAAGAGAUUCCCUAUUACCUUUGCAGCAAGAGGCAGGCCUUUGCACUUACAUGCAAUUUUUCGCCAAAUUGGUUCUAAUUUUUCACAAUCCUCAAAGGACCUACGUAGAAAUGCUAUCUACUUAAACAGUAACCAACAUUCCCCUUCACCCAACUCCUUGACAGGGAUAAUAUUUAUUGAUCCCAACUGUAGUGCAACUGACUUAUCACGUGUGGUAAUCCGAAUUUUACUUUCAUGGUGGCCAUUCUUUAGACAAGAAAAGAAUGGGUCCCAUUCUUUAUAAUCUCCAUCCCACACAUCAUCUAAAACAAGAAAAAAUUUCUUCCCCGUAAUAUAUUCCUGAAUCUGUUUCAUAAGAGAUUCGAAUUCGCUUAAACCAGAAGCUGACACGCCUAGACCUUCAAUGAUUGCUUUGGCGACCCUAAUCUCCUCAAAAGUGUCUGAUACACACACCCAUAUAACUUUUUCAAAAUUUAUUUUCACCUCAUCAUUAUUAUAGGCCAGUUGUGCAAGAGUGGUUUUACCUAUACCCCCUAACCCAACUAGAGAGAUGACAUAAAGGCCUUGUUGUUGUUCACUACUUUCACACAACAACUUGCUUAAGAGCUCAUUUUUCUCAUCAACUCUACCGCAAACCUCUCCCUCAUCAAUCAAGGAGGUGGUUCGCACUCGCUCUGGUUUCUUAACAUUGUUGCUCACAUUCUCAACAAAUUUAAACGUAUCGUUUUGGGAGGCAAUAUCAUCUAGCUUUCCAUUGAUUUCCCUAAUCUUGACGGCAAUGUCAUGACGAAGACUAAGUUGUUUGAAACUACCAAAGCAGUUUGAUACAGCACAAAAGAAGGAGCGUACCUUCUUCUUAUGAGGAGCAAGAGCAAGAGCAUUGUCAUCAUCAACGCCCUCAAUCUGCAAUUUGAGCCUUGCAGUGGUCCACUCCUCCAACACGUCUUCCAUGUCGUAAGAUGCAUCUUUGAGCUGAUCCAGCCAAAAAGUAACAGCAUUGUCGCGCUGCAUUUGCCUUUUCUCUGAAUCUUCCAGCACAGCUCGAAUGGCUCGAAGAUUGCUGGCAAGCUUUUUCACUUCUUCUCCGAAACCAGUCACAAGCCUCACGUGUUGUUUCACUUCAUCAGCCGCAACGGAGAUCAGCUGCUCCAGGAGAGAGGAAACGAUCGCAUAAACCAUUCUGACAAAGAAAACGAGAAUUUUGAUGAGUUAUUAGAUGUGCUUUUGUUGCGAAGAUAUGAAAGAAAAGGAGUUAUUGCAUUCUUUUAUACUGCAUAGAAAAUGUUUAUGCUUAUCCCCACCCCACACGUCAAUGAUUGUAGAAUGUUUAAUUUCCCACACGUUAGGAAUUUGGGACAUAAUAAUAAAUAUUCUCAAAUUUGUCGCAUCUUUAACGUAUGAGCACGUGUUUUGUCUAUGUCACUUUUUUUCUAUCUUACUGCAAUAUCAGGUAGAGGAAUUCGAUCAGUUUCCCCAACAGAUGGGAAACGAUGUCAUCAGCCAAUUGAUGUUGGAUUAAAUGCUAAAUGUUACGAUUGCUUUUGUUGCGAAAAUGCUCAAAGAAAAGUGGCUUUUGUGUAUUCUGUGAGAAUGCUCAUUCAAGCAUUUUUGCAUUCUUCUUAUACUACGUGAGGUAUUUAAUUUUUACCCUUGAGUCAAUGUCAAUGUGAAAGCUUUUAUGCUGCAAAUUAAAGAAAUCCCAGACCAAUAAUUGUACAACAUCUGCCCUGUCUCUCUGAUUCAUAAUAAUUAUGCAGACUACUCAGCAUCGGCACUUGUAAAAUUUCUUACAUUAUAAGUAACGAAAUAUUUGUAAACUACCACAAAAAGCUUGGAGCAAUCUACUGAUGAACCUUCUGAAGUUACAUAAAAUAGAAUAAUCUUAGUGUUGGAACAAUUUUAAAAUAAAUGAUGUCUCAUUAUAAAGACAUAUCUAAUUAAUAUAGAAGAGUAAUCUUUUGAUAUUUAAUAAAUAUCAUACUAUGGUCUAUGACUUAGCUCAUACUACAAAGAAAAUAUGUGAAAGAUAAUUAAGGAAUAAAGCUUUCAACAACGAUUUAUAAAAUUGCUUUUGAUAAAACUGUUCUGAUGAAAUGAAAUUAUGUGAAAUUACUAAGAAUUUAAUUAGCCUCUCAAAAAGGUUCAUUGAUUGCUUGACUUCUCAAGUUUAAAAUUCGAAUGUCAAAACAGAUAAAACGUUAAAAAAUUAUUUUGAGUUUUAUCCACCCGUUUACCAUUUUAAUACAUAAAACUCUCCUAUUGCUUUAAAGUAUCAUUUUUUGUUUUAAACAAAAAAUGACACUUUAGUAUCAUAUGUUUGCAAGAUAUUCGGCCAUGAGUGUUGACGGAAAUUUCUUCAUCCUUGAGCGGAAAAUAAAAAGAAAAACAUAGUUCGCAAUUUUAGUAGCGAAACCAAUAUUUUGAUCCAUAUGGGGUAAAUCUUCAGGAGGCCCAACUUCAAACUUAAAAUGUUAGCUGAGGGUUUAAUUUUAGACUGUUUUUCUAUUUAUAGUUAUUAUAUAGUUGUUAGGAAUUUCGAAAUUUUAGAAUUUUGCUUGUAGCUACAGGCUGCAGCGAUUUUAUUUGGCGACUUUGAUUCAUAAUUGAAGUACUGUUGCAAGUAAAAACUAAAAAAAUAAUUAACAAAAUAAAAAUCAAAGACUUAGGCCCAAGUUUUUAUCAAAAUUUUAAUAAAAGGCUAUUUGUCACAUCGUCAUAAUGGAAAAAUAAUUAAUACAAUAAACAAAUCGAGUUACUUGAUUUUAUUUUAAUAAUAUAUAAAUAAAAUUUUUAUUAUAUGUAUAAAUUUUAUAUAUCAAGUUCUUAGGGGUCAAAUCAGUUUUUUUAUACCUAAUUUUUAAUAUUUCACUUCGAAACCUCAAAAUUUUUCAAAGCUUGUAGGGUCAUGAUCCUCACUAGGAGUGGGCAAAUUUGUGUUCAUAUUAACUUAAUCGGGUUUUAGGUUGAUUGGGUUAGAAUAUUCAGAUUGGAUUGUAUCAAAUCAAAAAUUCAAGUUUAGUUUGGAUUGCAUCAGGUUAUAAUUAUAUGGGGAUCAAGUUGGAGUUGGAUUAGCCAACUUGGAUUAAAAUCAAAUUUGGUCAGCUAGGAUGGAUUCAGAUAAUGUUGGGAUUAGGGGUGUUUUUGAGCCUAUUUUGUUUAUUUUCAGUUUUUUUUUAAAUUAUUUUAGUUCUUGAAGAUGGUUUUAUUGUAAUUAUCUCAUUUGAAUUUGUUUUUACCAAUUUUCAACCAAAAAAAAUGAAAACUACUACUAUAAAAUCAAAUGAAUAAAAAUUGAAAUGAACUACUACUAUUAGAUUGGAUCGGAUCCUCAUCUCUUGGCCUUCUUAUACAAUAAGGUAACUUUGAGCCAUCUAUAGUGUAGUUUUCAUUUUUUUUAUUGGUCAUUUAUAUUGUAAGAAUUUCCCUAUUAAUAUUGUUCCCAAUCUCUUCUACCUUCUACAUAUCACUAUCUAAAAUUCUUUUCCAUUCUUCUGUUGGUCAUUUAUAUUGUAAGAAUUUCCCUAUUGCCUUUGCAAUAAGAGGCAGGCCUUGCAUGCAAUUUUUUUUAUCAUUUGGUCACCAUCCUUAAAAAAUUGACCAAAAAAUGCUACUUGCUUAAACAAUGACCAACAUUCUUCUUCAGUUAAUUCCUUAAUAAAAAUAAUAUUUGUUAAUCUCAUCAUGCUUGCUAUUAUCUAAUGAUGUGUAGUAAUCAAAAAAUUGACUACUGUAGAGACCAUUCUUUAAACAAUAGAAGAAUGGUUCCCAUUGAUUGUAACUUCCAUCCCACACGUCAUCUAGGACAAGAAAAAAAAAAAUCUUUCCCUCAUUAGAUUUAUCAAUAUGGUUUACAAGAGAUAACCUAAUAUUUGUCUGUUGCCAUUCUUGCAUUAUAUGCAUACUCCAUGACUUACAAGAUUGCUUCUUUGACCAUCUAUCUGAUAACCUCCAAUGGCAAAGCUAGCAUCAUUUGUUUGGGUGGGCUAGAUUUAAAAAAAAUGAAAUUUACUUCUCAAAAAAUUUGUUUUAUAUAAAUGAAAUUAAGCACACUACAUAAGCAAAAAUUUAACCAUAAAACUAUAAAAAUACAAUGUAAAUAAGAAAAACAAUAUUGACGAAGAUGUGUCCUACGGUUCUUCAAAAAAGAAAAUUCAUCUACUAUCGCAUAUGAGUCAAUAUUGUCUGCAAUUUCUCUUUCCAUGUAAAUAACCAUACAAUCUGAAAGAAACUCAUUCUCCAUCUUGUUUCAAUGUGUUGUCUUAAUCAGUUUCAUGGCAGAAAAUGCUCUCAACUGUUGUUGCUGUUGAAACAAGAAGGGUUAACACUAAAUGAUUAACACUAAACAAGAAGGGUUAACAAGAAGGGUUAAUCUAUCCAACAAGAAAUAAAUCUAUGACUUUCUAGUCUCAACCAAUCUUCGACACAGUUUAGAAAGGGAAGUAAUAUUCUGAAACUCUUGAAGAGAGUGUAUAUCUAUCUCAAAGCACUCUAAUUGUCUUCUCAAAGCCUGUAACUCAAUCUUAGUGAAUCUUUAGGAUAAAAUCUUUCAGCAAGGCUGUAAAUAUCUUCAAUUUUAAAUGAUUUAAAUGCAUCAAUAGGAUUUAAAGCUGAACUAAGAGUGAGGAGUUCCAAAGUCUGUUAAGCAAAUCUAUUAUUCAACUCCAUCAAUUGAAAAUCUAUCACAGCAUUAAAUAUAUCAUAAUGAUAAUAAUGCUCAACUGUAAUAUAAUUAUUCUGCUGACAAGAACAUCCUCUGCCUUUCAUAUGGCGAGCUUUCAUAUCAGGCAUAUCUAUCUCAUUCUUUUCAUAAAAUAGAACUACGUUCUCAAUAAAAGUUUUCCAACCAUUGUCUCGCAGCCUUUGAAGAAGUUUUUUCGUAGUUGAGACUAAGUGCACAACAUUUAGAAUAUCUUGAGAUUUAACUUGUAAUGCUUGACAAAGUAAAUCACUCACCCCCAAAACUUUAUUUAAUAAAUGCAAAAUGAACACAAAUUUAAAAGAUGUCAUUGAUUCACAUGCACCUUUAGCCUCUCCACAUAUACUAUUGUUAGGUCCACACUCGACCAACUUCUCAAGAACUUUACGAACAACACUAAACAAAUCAAGCAACCUACUGAUAGAAUGGAAAUGAGAGCUUCACCAAGUAGCUCCAGGCCGUUGCAAAGUAUGAAUUUGAUUGGCCCCUGUACCAGUUUGAACUUCUCCUGAAGCUAUCAAAUCUAUUAUUUCUGCUUCCCAAACAAAUUUUAACUCAGAAAGUCGUUUAGCAGAUGAAGUCAGAACAUUUACAAUUGAACCCAAUGCUGAAAAGAAAAGCCAUACAUCUGGCACAUCAUUAGAUGCUGCAACUAAAGCAAGUAGUUGAUGUGCAAAACAGUGUAUAUUAUAUGCAUAUGGGCAAUCUUUCAAAAAUAAUGCUUGUAAUCCAUUCCAUGCAUCCCGCAUGUUACUAGCACCAUCAUACCCUUGCCCUCGGAUAUUUUCAACUAAAAGAUCAUAUCGUGCAAGAACAUUACAUAUUUCUUUUUUCAAUGUUACUGUUGUAGUUUCCAUGACAUUGACAACUUCAAAAAAACGUUCUCGAAUAUACCCAUCACAAUCAACAUACCUUAAAAUAAUAGCCAUUUGCUCUUUAUCAGAUUCCUCAAGUGCUUCGUCUACUAAAAUACAAAACUUACCAUCUCCAAUUUCCUUGCUUAUCUUGUUUUCGCACUUUGUUUGCAAGAAUAUUUAAAAGCUCUUUUUGAAUGUCAGACGAUGUAUACUUAGCAUACGAUGGAGCAUUUUCCAAGACAACUUGAGCAAUUUCUUUACUACACUCCGCUGAAUGCUUUAUCAACUCUAUGAAAUUUCCCCGAUUUCUUGAAUCAACUGGUUCAUCAUGACCUCUAAAAGCACAUGCUUGCUCUGCUAACCAUUUAACUGCAAUAAUUGAGGUCUUCAAUCGUAGCCUAUUCUCCAAAAGUUGUUGUGAAGUUUGGGCAUUAAUUAAUCUAUCAAUGUGUUGAAUUGGGUUCCUCAAACAACCCCAACUCUGCAUAUUCUUAUUAUGAUGAGAAGAUGGACCUCCUUCAUGCUGUAAAAAGGGACAUUUUUUUCCAUUGUUGACUCUCUUCCAACUAGAAAAUCCUUCAAUAACAAAUUUUGGGUUGUUUGAUGGAAUUUCAUCAAAAAGAAAGCAUGGAAAACAAAAUGCACGAUCUUUUACCUCAGAGUACUCAAGCCAUGGAAAUUUUUUAAACCAGUGACAGUGAAACCUACGUUCUUGCAUGCCAUCAUUAGUUAGUGGAUAAUCUCGUAGUUUAGGCUGAUAAGGUCCCAUUUUGAUGUACUCCCUUCUAAUAUCAUCACAUUGAUUUACUGAAUACGUCCCUAUUUGAUGACGUAAUCCAGGAUCACGCUCCAGAUAAGUAUUUCUAGUUUCUUCAACUUCAACCCUUUGAAACUUGGAAGUAUGUUGCUCACUGGAAUCUUGAGCAUUAACUUGACAUGGAGAUAAAGACUUGGUGGAUGAUUGAUUUUCACCUACUCUCUUAAAAAAAGAAAGUAGAGUUUUUCUUGGUUUAUUUAACAUUGAAUUUGUAAUAAAAUACAUUAAAAAUUUAGUAUUUAUUUUAUAAAAAAUUUGACAAAAUCGCAAGUUAAAAGCUAAUUAAAAAAGUCAGCAUUCAAAUUAAUUAUUUUACUAUUUUAUUCACUCAUUCUUUCAUGCCAUCAUUAUUUUAUAAUUACAAGAAGAUGAAUCAACACCUUUCACAGUUCCACUUUAUAUGCUAUCAUCACCGUUUUUCACAUUCUAUUAUUUUAUAAUUUUAAAAAGAUGAAUCACAGUUCACAAAAUCAACAACUUCCAGUCUUCCACAAUUCCACUUCGUGUGCCAACCAUCAUUAUCAUAAAAUCAUAUUAUAUUCUGUAAACUAAAGUUUAAAAGGCAAAGUGCUUUGUACCAAGGGCCGCAUCAAGAGACUGGGCAUUCGGCGUCGGCUCGGCAGUGAGAGAUUCAACCUAUGGGUGCGGGCCUUGCGGCAGUGGUUCGGCGUCACUCAUGAGGCAGCGGCUGGGCGUCAAUUCGAGCGCAGGAGACUGGGUAUUCAGCAGCGGUAAGAGACUUGAGCAAUUGAAUUUUGGUAAAUUUCAAAUUCGGAUUUAGUUAGAUACUGGUGAGUUUUAUGAAUUGUGAUUUAGGGAAAUAAAAGAUUCCUAUAAUUAUUGGGUUUGUUUUUAUUUUUCUAUAAAUACUAAUAAAAGUAAAUUUAUAAAUUAUAAAUAUUUUUUUUUCAAAAAGCUUACCCAGGCUGCAGCCCGGGUUAGCCUUCCCUAAGCUUUGCUCUGCCUCCACAGUCAUUGUCUACUUCCCUUGAAUGUCUUCGGGAUGGUUGUUCCUUUAUGUGGUCACAUCAUGAUAACAAGCAAACUUACUCUAAUACCAGCUGGCGAUGAGGAAACAUUAAAAGGCUAUUAGAUAAUAGAAACUAGGUUUUUAAAUAAUAAGUUAUAUUGCGAAUAAUUUGAACAAACAAAAUUGGGGUAUUGAACCACUUUUAUAGAAGCAUAAAUAUUAGGAAUUUACCAAAAUAGGCAAAUCCAAAAUAUUAUAUGAUAAUAAAAUCCUUCUAAUCUAAAUAAGAAAAGGAAAACAAAUGGAACUCAAAUCCAAUAUCUAGAAAAAAAGGAUAAAAAUCCUAAAAGAAUCACGACAAAUUAAAAAAAUAUCUUAAAACUGAAAAACAACAAAGAAAGAAGUGAAAUUUUUUGCUCAACCGCAGGGCAUGAUAGCAUAGACUGUUCUGCAUUUGGUUCAACUUAUUGCAAGCUUUGAAACGAUAUAUUAUACAUUCAAAAUGGAACGGAUAUCUGUAUCCUAAGUUAUGACCUUCGGAAGAUACCCUACUCAUUCUAUGCAACCAUCCUACGUCAACUUGCCUUUGCUAUGUAUCUUCGAGCAACUUGAAUGGCUUGAAGAUUUGUGGUAAGCUUUUUCACUUCUUGUUGGAGAAUAGUCACAAACCUCACCUGUUGUUUCACUUAUUCAUAAGCAGCAAAGGAGUUCAGUUGCCCAAGAAGAAGGGAAGCGAUCGCAUCCGCCAUUCUGACAAGGAAAAGGAGAAAUAAUUUGAUAAGAUGUUAAGUGUGCUUUUGUUAAGAAAAUACCAAAUCAAAGGAGCAGUUGCAUUCUUCUUACAUUGCAUGAAAAAAGUUAAUAGUUAUCCUCCCCCACCCCACACAUCCAUAAUUUUACCAUCUUUAAUUUUUAUGAUUCUACUCCACAACUAUGGUACAUAAUUGUAAAUAUUCUAAAAUUAAUUUGUACUGGUCGGGCCAGUGCCAUGUAAAACAAAAACAAAAACUCAAAAGAAAAAAAAAAGAAGAAAACAAAAGUUGUAAAAAGCAUGCCUCACGGAUAAUUUACUUAUAGUUAAAUUUCGUCCCACACCCUUAUUAGAUUGAAAUACUUUAAUUUACCCUCCAAAAGUAUAAAAACUUCAUUUUACCUGCCAAAUGCCAUUAUUUUUAAUAGUUAACUAAUGUUGACUUGAAAAAUACGAGAAUGCCCCUGACCCUAACUAAUUAACAGUUCAUUGAGUUAACAAGAAUAAUUUUAUUUUGCCCCUUAAGGUCUAUUAUAUUUCAAGUUAGACUACAAAAAAAAUUAUUAAUAAAAACUCCCUAUAGAAAAAAAAAAGUAAAAAAACCAUUAAAAGAUUAAUUUAACUUUUACUUAUAUCUUAAUCUAUAAAACAAGUAUGAUAAUCACAAAUUUAUGUUAUGAUAUCACCACAAUGAAAAUUUAAAAAAUAAUUUUGACCCUUCUCUUGAAUUUAAAUAUCUUAGGAAUAUCAAUAUUUAAUUAAUUAGUUGACUUUUACCAUUCAAAAUACCAUUUUACCUUUCAAAGUAUCUAAAAGACAAAUUAACGCACAAAAUUUAUUGACAUUCCAUUAAUAAUGUAAUUUGACGGGUUAAAAAUUAAAAAAAUAUAUAAAAUUUAGAGAAAUUCAAAGACUGAAGCCUUAACCCCUACUUAUAAUCCCAAAUUUUUAUCAGUUUCUUUCUUAUUAAUAUCAUUUGCUAUAAUUUUAAUCUUAUUUUUUUUAAUAAUAAUUCUUUUUAUUGAAAGCCAUUUUAGUAUUUUUUUUCCCCAAACAUCAAACUAAGGGGUAAAAUAGUAAAAUAAUUCAUAAUUUAUAAUAUUUCAGUAUAUCCAAUAUAUAUCAUUUUCAUAGAAUAAUAUUUAUCAUUUUUUUAGUAUUCUUAGGAAUCUUGAAUAGUAACACCUUUUUUUUUUUGGUGUGGACCAUGAAGUAUUCUGGGGAGAGCCCCAACUGUGGAAGGCACCUUUAAGCCCGUACUACAACCCAGACUAACAAUCCCCGCUCAAACCGGGAGACACAGGUUCUCCCAACAAAUGCGACUUCCCUGCGACUAAUAGUAACUCCUUUUUAAUUUAUGAUUAAAAUGUUAAAAAACAAAAAAGUUAUAAUCUUUUAAAAUUUGAAACGAGUUAUUGCAAAAUAAUAAUAAUAAUAAUAAUAAUUUUAUUCCUUAGUUGAGCUUUGAAAUAUAAUAAAUUACCAACAAUGGCAUCCACUACAAUUUAUCCUUAAUUAAAAUUUAAAAUUGCAAUCCAUUUUUUUGUUUUCCAAAUUAUUUUUUCUUUUAUUCUUGGUCUUCUUUAGUUUCCUUAUUUCUUUGUCUUGUACUCUUUUUUUUUUUUUAACCUCUGUUCCAUAUUUGAGGCUUUAUCUUAAUUCUUUGCAUUAAUUCUAUCAAGACUAUCCUUGAUAAUUCUAUUACGGUACAACUCAAAUUUCUACCAUCACAUAAUAUUAGAGAUAUAUAUUAUAUUCUUAUUAAUCAGAAGAUAAUUUUACUCCUAUCCAGUUUAAUUAAGAGGAAAAUCGAGAGAAAUAUCUACUUUAUUCUUGUUAAUAAAGAAAUAAUUUUAUCCCUAUCUAAUUUAAUUGAAAAGAAAAUUGACAAUAACCUAUGCACUCAAGCCAACUUUAAGUGCUUGGAUGCAUGGGUUGUAAUGUUUUUUAUUUAAAGGCUCAGGCUAGAACCAACUAAUAUCAGCCGUGUGAUUUUAAUCACUCAAUCCAACCGUCACGAUUACACUCAGUGGAUAAACAUUCCACAUAGUCCACAAACAUGAAGAGUAAAGGAUUGAUUGCAUAUGUAUCCUCUCAAGUUCUCAAGAACUUUUUCUUUAAAACACACUUUUAAAGCUAAUCUGCAGAUCUCUCCGAAAACUUUUCCUCUUCUAACUCCUCAUCUCUUCCUCACCAAAUCUUCGGAGGCAAAAAUCUUUCUUGCCUUCUCCAGUGGAUUCUUGAUUUCUUUUUUUCUUUUUUUUUUUCGGUUGCACCCACCUCUUCCUUAUGAUUUGAGGAUGUGUGUCUUGUUCUGGCCUUCUUCACCUUAAGGUGGUUGUUCUAUUUCAAUUUUCUCCUCCUUUGGUUUUGAGGAUGGCUGCUAUGCGUCCAUUCAGAUCUUGAUCUGUGAUGGUAAUAAUGUACCAGUUAUAGUGAUAAUUUUGGUUUAAUUUCUAUUUUCCAGUACAUAACCCUUCAACAUCUCUGUCAAAUGCAAUGAACCGAUCACAACCAUUCAUAAUUAACCCAAAAAAAAAAAAAAAAAAACACAGAGAACAAUCACAACGACGAUUUGUUUUGAUCAUCCCUGCUUUUUCUUAGCAUAGCUCUUGGAAUGAAAAUUAAUAAAAAGUGUCAAAAGGGAAGCAUUAAACACAGCAUUGAAGCACCAACCCAAGAUCCCAGAGCAUCCAAAUCCCGCAAAAUGAUAAUACAGCAUCAAAACUGAAACAACAAAACUAAACACGAACUGAACAAUCUGACAGUCAGUGACCAAUCUCUUCCACUUUGGCCGCAACCCCAUCACACACAAUAGAUAGUACCCGUACAUGAUCACGUGCACACUUGCAUUGGUGACAAGUGCGAUAGGAAACAAAGACUGCUUCGUCUGUAACCAAAGGUAGCACAUUACGACGACGGUUGCGUGGUGGUAGACGUGGAGGAACGUGAGCCGUUCGAUGGAGUUUGACAAAAUGAUCAAAAGGGUGUCUAGGAAUUCGAGUAUUUUGGAGAGGUAGAAGAUGUAAGCGUAGAAGAAGAGGGGACCGGAGGGAGAGAUGGUGGGGGGGAAACAGAGGGUGUGACGGAGGUCGGGUGAAUGGAGGACGAUGGAGAGAGUGCAACCAACGGCCAUGACGAGGGAGAGGAGGAGGAGGGUGAGGUUAUGGACGGCUGUGAUGGGCUUGAGGAUGUGGGGUCCAAUGAGAGGUGAUGAUGAUGGUGAUGUUGGCGUUAAUUUGUGGUAGAGUAUGAAUGUGAGGGAGAGGUAAGUGAGGAUGGAGAGAAUGAGGAAGUGUGGGGAGGAAGCUGGGGUUUGGUUUUGAGUCCAUGUGAAGUUGAGGAUUUGGGGGUGGUUUACAAGCCAAUAUUGGAGUGUUGAGGUGAUUGAAUUUGAAGCCAUGGCUGGUUUUUUGGAGGAGGAAAGAUUUGGAAGAGAUGAUGUUGAGAGGAGUGGGGGAGUUUAGAAAGUUUGGGAUAAUGUGAGGGGUAUUUUGGGCAUAUAAUGUUGUCUGAGCUUAAAUUUUUGUUAAAAAGAAAUAAUAAUAAUAAUAAAUUCUUUUCUCAUGUCAAUUUAAAACUCCGAGUGUGUUUCCAACAAUUGCUUUUCUUUUUCUAUUUUGGGAUUUUGAAUCAUUUUUUUUUCAAUUCAAUAAUGGCCUCUUCAAUUAUAAAAUAUGGUCAAAGGGGAUGGGGUGUAGUGUCUAGGCCUCCGCGACAACGGCAUCUUUGAACGUGGGUUUCAUCAGUUUUUUUUUUUUUGGCUAUUUCUGCUCAAAUCAAACUUGUGGAUUUCGUGCACUCAACGUGGAACCCUUUUGAAUGGACGCAAUGGUUUUGGUGGGAUCACACAAUCCGAAGAAGCAUGGAACUGGGACCAAUUUGUUGACAAAAAUUUAGGCAUAAAAUUUACAAAUCGAAGUCAGAGUAAGAUUUAAGUAAAAUUGAGUAACAUCUUGCACAUCGAGUAAGGAUUUCUACAAUCGGGCUAGAAAGUGCAACUAAAAUUUGGUAAGAGUUUCAUAGAGCAUAAUUUUUAAGAUACAACGUUAAGAGUAUUUAGUAGACACUUAUAAUAUUACUUGAAUUGAUUUAAUCUCAUACUCUAAUAUAAAAAAUUUAAAAUAUACUCUUAUAAUAUUACUUGAAUUGAUUUAAUCUCAUACUCUAAUAUAAAAAAAUUUAAAAUUUCUUUACUAAUUUUAUUGAAAGUAUUAUUUGACAAUCCUAUUUAUUACAUAAUAUCAACGUUUAUAUUAUAAUUACCGCUAAUACUAAAAGCUGAUCUCGUAAUUAAAAGCUAAACAAAAACUCGAGUACAAUCUAGUAAUUAAAAGCGCUAUGGUUUUUUGGCAUUACAAGAUGAUUCAAACUUGAACUUGCCAUCAAAAGUGUAUCAAAACAAUCACAGAGACACUCUGUUUGACAAAUCUGCAGUAGAAUUUGCACAAUUUAACUGGGUUACAGAGAGUGAAUAAGAUUCCAAAGCAACAGGCCAUUAUUAUUAAGAAAACAAUUCAUCGCUAGAACAAAAUUAACUUUUCUAACUUACUAGAAUUUAACUGGAGAAAAAUUGGAAUAUACGAAGUUGUAUCACAUAUAGUAUUUAGACAUCAAGAAAAGAAUCCCUCUAUCAGUGAACUAUACUUGCCAGGAAACACGGUGAAAUACCACCACCUCCCUACUAGUUCUUAGAUGUCUCAAAAGAGUUUGAUGACGACUUCCGUGUUGUAUCUCUUCGACAGGCAGCAAAAUUGGGCUAUUGACUAGAUUAACUCCCCAGAAAUUUAUGCGGUCACCUUCUUCCGGACUAUCCUCUUUCUUCGCACUUUAGGAGCCCUUGCUUCCCCUUCAACAGAGUCGACAUUCCCUUGUUUGAUGCCAAGGAGCCCAAGCCCAGAGACAAUGGCAUUCUUUGAUAUCAACCACUUUGGGGACUUUUGAGUUGAGCCAUUGACAUCCUGAGACGGCCUGUUGUAAGCCUUCUUCAAAAGGUCAUCUGACUGAAGUAGCGGAUCCGCUUCCACUCCUAACCAAGCAAGCCUUGAUCUUUCUCCUAAUUGGACAUUAAGAACCCUGCAUGGAAUCCAUUUGAGAAGUUGAACAAUAGACAAAGUCCAACACAUAUAGGCAGUAAAGAAUAAUUUGGACAACAAUUACUGAUUGUUUACGCACAGGGCUGAACAAAUGGGAAUAUUAAGGCACAUAAAAAUUGGAACCAUAUUCACCACUUGUACUUCCUUAGAGAAUUAUCUCAGAGUUCUGUUAAUUUAAAACCAUUCUUACACAUUUAACUGUAAAACUAGAGAAAUUGUACUUCUGUAGCGAAGUCUCACUAUUGUUAAGGAUUUGGACUUGGAGAGAAUGCAAGUUGAUUAAGCAAAGAAAAAUUGAAAUAAUAAUUGGUGAUAGAUCUAACACACUUCAAUAGAAACCACACUAACAUCAUAUCAGGCAAAUAAACAGAUUCCCCAGUCAAAAGUUUAACAAACAAAACAUUAAAACAAUAGUAAUUUGGUCCGACCAGAAUAGUCUAUCAAUGUAUAUAGAGAUGUAGAUCAAUAAACAAAUACGUAAAAGAGAGAGAGGGAGAGACCUCAAAGCAGUGCUUAAGAACAGUGCUACUCCAAUAACAUCAAAAUGGUUGAUGACCGCUCUAUCAAAUCCACACAAUAGCUGGUAUCUCAUGUUUGCACAUAGUCCAAGGAAAGCACCAUAACCAAGCGCAUUAGUACUCACAGAUGGGAUUGUCACAGAUAACCUGUCAGACAUUAAAGGUGGCCCAAAUUUAACAAAUGUUAAACUAGCUUAGACAGUAAACAGAACAAUUUUCUAAGUUUUCUUUAUUUGUGAUGAAUAAGUGAACGAGGAAUGAAAAGGAAGUUUUACAACCAUGUUUACCUGUCCUUUUUACCAGCAAGAUAGUUUGACAAAGAGCCUUGCACUGCUCCUGCAGUUAAUCCCACCAUACACAACUCUGCAGCCUUGUAAAAAAGGGAAUGGAUUCUCUUUUGCAAGUCAAAUUCUCGAAAUGGGCAACUCCGUUCUAAUAUAUUGUUUGGGAACGACAAGGAGCAAACAUUUAUUAGCUUAAUAUAUAAAAUAAAAAUAAAAAGCAAGUUCCUUUGUUGUGAAAAGAAAAAUAAAAACACGCCUAUCCUUACGAUUCUCCAGCUCCCACCAAACAGUGCAACCAAUUAUGGGAGCCUGCUCUACCAGAAGUUUAUACAAAAAAGCUGGAUCUGCCAGCAUCCUGGGGCAACAGCAGUUAAUACAUAAGAAAUCUGAAAAGAGGCCCAACAUUUUACAACCAAUCAAAAAUCACUGAACCAUUGGAAAGUGAUUUACGUAUAAUUUUUUUUCCAAACUUUGUCCAAAAUGAUAGAAUGAGAGAGGAUGAGAUAGGAUGACACAAGAAACAAAUGUAAAUUGACCGUGUUGGAGAAAAAUCAGUUUUUUAUACAAACUUUUAGGGCCGAUCUCAUACAAUAUAUAGGAAUACGGAAUCUAGAAAUCGUACCUUGAAAAUCUGAGAAGAUGAACAAUCUUUGCUUUUUCCGCUGAAGUGAUUUAGGCUCUCAGAUCACGAUCUGUUACCACCACUCCUGUUAGAUCACGAUCCGUCACCACCACGCCUAUUAGAUCACGAUCCAUCACCACUGAUCUUAUAGACUAUGACUCAGGUUUGAUCCGCACUUGACGUGUGGACGCCUUUAUCACCACUAUAAGCAACUAGAGAGAAAAAUUUUCUCUCAAAAUUAGAGAGAAAAAGUCUUUUUCUCUAAUAUGUAUAAUGUGGCUGCUCUGUCUCUUUUGGGAGAAAAUAAACCUUUUUAUAUCUCUAUUUAGUGGAAACCCUAUGCUCCAUAUUUAUUUAUUUAUUAAUUCUAUUAAAUCCCAUUUGAUUUAAAUUAAAAAAUAAUUAAAACAAAAGUGACGUUACUUGUUUUUGUGUUCUAGGGGCCCGCCUUGUAAAAUAACACAAGGCCCCUUACACACAGGCAUAUUACACUCCCACUAAAUAAUUUAUUUAGGCUUUUAACUCAAAUAGCUAGUUAUCUUGCUUAUUAAUCCAGUAGCAGCGUGGUCAAUUAAACAAGCUAACCCGGGGAUUAUAUGGGUACAUACAAUAGUGGCUACAAUAAUUAGACCUGUAAUUAAACUAGUCCAAUUAUUUAAUUCCAAAUCUACUCCACUAAAAUAUUGGAAUUGACCUCCAUAAUUGUAUGCUAUCUAGGAUAGUGUACUCGAAUAAUAAUUCGACCUAUGCCACAUUGAUUUCUUUACUGCAUAAUCAUUUGUACCACAUCAUUAAUUAAAUCAAUAUCUCAACUGUCCAAUCGAUUUAAUUACAUCUUGUUCCUUGAUACUUACUGGUUUUCUCUAAUGAUCAUUUUCAAACAUACUAAAUAUGUUGACACACUCUGGCCAGAGAAUUCUAUGAUCAAGUGCCGAAAACCCAUCAAGAAUUCUAUAUUGUUAAUUUAUAACUUCAAUACUCAUAAUUACUCCCACCAAGAUACCGGGUAAUCUUAACCACAAGUGUGUGUCGUGCCCAUUGGUAACUCAAAUGGAAUAACAAUUACAAUCAUGAAAUCAUAACUAACUCAAGAUUAAGAUUACAGUAAAAUCAAUGCCUAUGAGAUUUAAUAAGUCUGACAGUCAUUUCAAGGUUAAUUAAAUCUCAUAUGUGAUCCAGCUCAAUGUAGUCAAACUACGUCAGUAAAUUCAUAUAUGAUUAAGACAAGCCAUUCAAUGAAUUUACUACAGUCUAAACAUAAAUAGAACACCCAACUCUAUUUAUCAACUGCGAACUAAAUUUAUUUAAUCAUAAGAUAACUUGUAUUUAUGUCUUCUGUGAAUCCAUAUGAUGAUCACAUAAAUACAUAUAAUAUGAUUAAACAGACCUUAUUCGAUAUAUAUUUAUGCAAUUGAAAAUAUCUUAAAUAUUUUAUUAAUCAAAAAAUAAAUUAAUAUACUUUAAAAGAGCAUAUAAUCCCAACAGACAGCAAGUAGAAAUAUACUUCUGUUAUAUUUGCAACAUCUUCUAGUGUCAAUUUCUUUUCCUUGAGCUCUGUUUCUGCGUGUGCUCAAAUGCAACGCGCAUGACACAAGAUAUAAUUAUCAACAUGAAUUUUUGCCGCCACAUGCAGCACUUGGAAAACUGUUUAUGGUCAUACAGAACUGGAAAAUAAAAAAUCAUUAACAGCGAGAGAAAUCAUUUUAAUCGCAACCAAACAUACACACUAUGAAAAUCUAAAAUUGAAUUUCUCCCAAUGAAUGUGCCUCUUCACAGCAAUUUCACAAGCUAAUCCCAGCAGCCUGCGUCAUGGAGUUUCUCCCAAUGCGUGAGCGAGCCUUGAAUAGUGGCUCAAACUAAAAUGAACUUAUUGUGGACAUUUGAAUUAAAAAUACAUGUAAAAGCAGUUUUCUCAAAGCAAGGUCAAGAUAAGAGAUUAACUUUGCUCCUUAUUUACAUUAAAAAUAACAAACAAUGAAAAACAGAGCUAGAGACGAACUUACCUGUGUGCUGAGACAGAGCUAGAGGGGAAUAUGGGAUAUCUUCUUAGAUUUGGUUUGAGAAACUCCAUCUUCUUCUGAAAGUUCUGAUAGUUCCCUUAACCCAGGCCAAUACAAUUGCAACAGAAACUGCAUGCUUUAAGCAGCAUCUGAUCAUCUCUUGUUAUUUCAAGACAAUAAUAACUUAAUUGCAACACUGUGUGCUUCAACCAUUAACCUUUUCAAUUUCAACACUUCUUUUGUCCCCCGCCCGAUGCCCUUUUAACAAUUCUAUGAAUCAGAUAAAUCAGCCUUCUUCACAAAACUAUGACAAACUUUUCACGGUGUUCCACACAUUCCGGGAUCCGUAUUGAUAACAAACAUUUGAUGAAGACCCUGCCAAUUAAAAUUUAGGUCACAUGUAACAUAAUUUCUUAUUUUUCUUUUGUACACAAAUGCAGACACUUAAGCAAAUUAAGAUUUCAUACCUAAAGCAAAUUAGGAUUCUUUUGACCCUGCAAGUUACAAUUUCACUCCCCAUGUAAUAGUAAAAAUUUGUACACAUAUUUAUAGCAAAUUAAUAUUUCAUACCUCACAAUAUUUAUCAUAACCAUCAAUCUUUAGAAACCACAUGCAGACUUGUUAAACUGUUUAUGGCGCAAAAUAACAGGGAAAUUAGAACAGAUUUUUAAGAAUGAGCGACUAAAUAUUUCAAUGGCAACUAAAAUUACACAUCUUGGAAAUCUGAAACUCAAGUACUCAGAAUGAAUGUGCCUCUUCACAACAAUUAAACAAGCUGGGAACUUUAGUGCAAAUGCUUUUUCAUAAUCUUCAAUUGCAUAAGUCAGUUAGAAUCAAUCUUUCUUAAUCUUUCAAUUCACAUAUGACAGCCUGAUAACACAAGGAAACACUAUUAGUGAAUUGUCAACUGCGACAAAUUUUGGGUAAAAAAUAUCAACUGUAGUUAUCUGCAUAACAUAUAGUGUCAACACCAAAUUCCUUCUUGAUCCGUGGAAGCAUUUCAGCCCACAGACGGUUUGCUUUGUCAAUAUAUAUCAAGCUUUGUAGCUUUUAAGAAAUUGCAGGUGAAAGACUUGGAAUUUUCGAUAGCAACUCAGGAUUCUAUAUUUAAACGAUGGUGUUUGAUGACUUGCUGAUACAAAAGACAUUGCCCCAAGCACUUUUUUACAGGAGCUAAAAUCAAGCCAGUCACUUCCAUUUGUUGCAGUUUUAAUGCAGAAAGAAAAAAAGGGGGGGGGGGAAUCUGCAAGAUAACACUUGUAGUACCGCAUGUUCGCAGAAGCAGAGUUAAAUAUGCUUAAUUUCUCACUCACUCCAAGAACUUUCAUUCUCCCAUAAUUCACUCAAAUGAAACUUUCAUUGGAAGGUCCAAUUAUUAAGGAUUUAGCAUCACUUCAUAUGCUCAACAAUUCAAAUUUAAGGAUGUUAUUUCACAAAAUGGAGGACUCUAUUUGGCUUGUGAACAAUCUUCCUCACCAUCAUCAUCAUUGUCGUACCAGUUGCACUGAACAAUCCUCAUUCUGACAUUUGCCCCAAUUAUCUGAUUACACAAGAAUCCGAAACAACUGUUAGAAAUUUUAAUCUUGAUAUAUAGCCAAAAUGGUGAAUAAGAUGAUGUACUUGAUAAUAAAAACUUGAUUUAAUAAAUAAUUAAGGGGCCGAUAACAAGCACAGAAUCUCAUCGUGUGGGGAAAGCCUUGACAACAGAAGAUGGUGCUUUCAUUCAAGCCGAUAACAAGCCACUAUAUAUGCAGUUAUCAUCUUCAAUUUGCUCAUCUUUGUCUACAGUAUUGCUUCUGCGUUAACUUAAUUAGCGUGCAAGCCACCUGAAAAUGGUUUUAAAUACUGAGAAAAAGUUUGAAUUCGAACAAGUUAAUCAAAUAUGAUGACAGAAAACACAAAAGUAAAAUAACCAAAAGAAGUAGAAAUAUACUUUUGUUAGAUUUAGAGCAUAAUUCUUCUGUCAAGUUCAUUUCCAUUAGCCUUGUUUCUGUGAGUGCUCAAAUGCAAUUCCUCAACGCUCAAGAUAGUUUCCGCGGACCUGAAAAACUAGUUGUGGCCAUAAGGAACUUCAAAAUUAGAAAAGAUUCAGAAUGAGUGACUAAAUAUUUUAAUCAAAACUAUUUAAACAUACACUAAUAUACCUCUACGCAACCAAGGAUGUAUCGGAUUAAACUUGCACUCUUCGAGUGAGUGUUGACUCCAAAAAUAGAAAGAUCAGAGAUGAAUAUUAAGAAUGGAAAGACAGGUUGUGAAAGAGAGAAGAGCCAAGAGAAAUAGAAAGAGAUAUUUUAUUUCUUCAUACCCCACACGAAUUCGUUCUGCUCUACAUAUAUUCCUCUGUCUAAGACGUUAGCAAAAAUAUUACAGCUCAACAACUUCUAACAGAAAAUAUGACAAUAAAAACAAACCAGCAAUCAUAAGGUACUAGCAAUUUCAUUACACGACAUAAUCCUUAAACCACCCAAGGGCUCUUCUAACUCGUUUGCUUGCGUACCGUUCCUCAUGAGCUAAUUCUUCCUCAACCUGUGAUGUGGCUUCCUUCAUGGGCUGUUCAUAAUUGGACUCGUUGUUGGGCUGCCAUUCUUGUAAGUAAUCUGGUUGAUCCGAAUGAAUGUGGAAGGUUGUAUCAUUCCCUCCAUCUUCAAAACUCACCUUGUCCUCAAGGUGAAAAUCGGGAUAAAGUUUACAGAAUGUUUCAAACUCUUCCCAAGUAGAAUUCUCAGGGGAAUUGUCUUGCCACUGGACCAGAACUUGACAGCAUUGCUUUCCUUGGUUAAGCACGGUUCGAAUAGCACAAACUGGAGCAGGUAAAUAUAAUGGCUAAUUAUGCAUACUUGUUGAUGGCAAGGAAUGGGAAGCAGGGUUUUGAGAAUCAAGGAAGGGUUUGAGAAGUGAAAUAUGAAACACUAGGUGGAUCUUAGAACCCCUGGGCAAGUCAAGUUUAUAAGCUCCUGGACCAACUCGAGCUAGCUCAUGGAAAGGGCCAUAAUACCGUUUAGCUAGCUUUUGACAAGAACGAGUUGCCACUGUAUUUUGGCAGUAUGGCUGAAGCUUCACUAGAACUUGGUCCCCAACAGCAAACUGAGCUUCAUGUCUAUGAGCAUUAGCUUUUUGAAUCAUGCGAUGUUGAGCUUGGCGUAAAUUCUCUUUCAAAGAACGGAGUAAUGCAUCCCGUUCACUUAAUGCUUCAUCAAGAGCUUGGAUUGAAGUAGAGCCCUUUGAGUAAGGAGGGAUGGAAGGAGGUGGUCGCCCAAAAAGAGCCUGAAAGGGAGACAUCUUGAUGCUGCUGUGAUAGGAAGAAUUGUAAGAAAAUUCAGCCCACCCAAGUAGAGAUGCCCAUGAGCUUGGUUUUUCUUGAGUGAAAGCGCGAAGAUACUGCUCCAAGCCACGAUUGACUACCUCCGAUUGCCCAUUUGUUUGUGGGUGAUAGGCUGUACUGUGACGAAGGGUAGUGCCACUUAACUCAAAUAACUUCUUCUGAAAAUUGCUUAAGAACAUAGGGUCGCGAUCAGAAAUAAUAGAGGUAGGAAACCCAUGAAUUUUUAUAACCAUAUCCAUGAAUAAUUCGGCUGUCUUUACAGCAGUAAAUUAAGUGGGAAGGGAUCCGAAGUGUGCCGAUUUAGUAAGGCGAUCAACAACUACCAAUAUCACUGAAAAACCUCGCGAAACGGGAAGGCCAGUAAUGAAGUCCAUAGUGAGUUCGUCCCAAACUAAAGUAGGGAUAAGAAGAGGUUGCAGUGGACCCGCUGGUGCUUGAGUAGAGUAUUUGGUCUGUUGACACACAAGACAUUCGGCUACAAACCGCUCAACAUCCAUACACAUUUUAGGCUAGAAAAAAGUAAAUGCUAAGCGGACCAGCGUGCGUUUGAUGCCUACAUGCCCCGCAAGUGGAGUAGAGUGGAAUUCAGCCAAUAGAACUUCUUUCAAAGAUGAUGAUGAGUUGAUAUAAUAGCAAUUGCGGUAAAAAAGAAAUCCAUUAUAUAGCGAAUAAUCCCUUGAAAGAGUUCCCGCAGCAAAUUGUUGAUGAAGGGCAAUCAUAUCCGAGAGAGUGGAAUUUUCUAAGUUUAGAGUUGCUAACAACUCAAACAAAGGACGACUAAGAAGAGGCAAACAAGAAGCAGUCACGGUUGAUGUGUCCGCACCAGCUUCCUCAUGAACUCGUGAUAAAGCAUCGGCUGCAAGAUUGGUACAGCCCGGUUUAUAUUCAAUGCGGAAGUGAUAGCCUAAUAAUUUUCUGAUGUAGAUUUGCUGAUCUGGAGUUUGAACUACCUGCUGUAGAAGUUCUUUAAUGCUUUUAUGGUCAGUUCGGAUGACAAAAAAUCUGCCCAAUAAGUAUUGUCGCCACUUGUGCACUGCCUCAACAAUAGCAGUUAAUUCCUUGAUGUAGGUAGAAGAAGCACGAAGUCGAGGGCCUAAUUUCUUAUUGAAGUAAGAUAUGGGGUGCCCGGAUUGCAUAAGCACAGCCCCUAUACCCACAUUAGAUGCAUCAGUUUCAAGGAUAAAGUCAGCAUCAAAAUCUGGUAGCCGUAGCACAGGGGCUUCCACCAUUGCCUUCUUAAGAGCGUCAAACGCUUCAGCUGCUGUUUGUGUCCACUGGAAGGCAUCUUUACAAAGUAAAUCAGUAAGGGGGGCUGCUAAAGACGCAUAUCCAUGAAUAAAUCACCGGUAAUAACCCGUUAAACCCAAAAAACCUCGAAGUUGUUUUGUAGUCUGAGGAGUCUGCCAAUAAACCAUAGCUUCAAUUUUCUAAGGGUCUGCCCGCACACCAGAGGCCGAAACAAUGUGGCCCAAGUAAUCAAUCUUUUCUUGGCAAAACAAGCAUUUGGAGAGCUUGACAAAGAACUGGUGAAAAUGAAGGCACACCAAUACUUGUUGAAGAUGCCACAACUGGUCCUCUGCUGUAGCACUGUAAACCAAAAUGUCAUAAAAAAAAACAAUCACGAAUUUACACAAAAAAGAAGCGAAAAUCUAGUUCAUAGUAGCUUGGAAGGUAGAAGGUGCGUUUGUUAAACCAAAUGGCAUGACAAGGAACUCGUAGUGGCCCUCAUGAGUGCGAAAGGCCGUUUUAUAAAUGUCGCGGUGGUGCACGUGAAUUUGAUGGUAACCAGCCUGUAAAUCCAACUUGCUGAAAACUGCUGCCCCGCCUAACUCAUCAAAUAAUUCGUCGAUAGUCGAAAUGGGAAAUUUAUCUUUGAUUGUCACGGCAUUUAAAGCUCUGUAAUCAACACAGAAGUGAUAAGUUCCAUCUUUUUUUUUAACCAACAAGACCGGUGGCGAAAAUGGACUAUGACUCGCUUGAAUGAUGCCUUGUUCUAACAUUUAACGGACAAGUUUUUCCAUCUCAUUUUUUUUUUGGAAAUAAGGGUAGCGAUAAGCGUGGACAUUUAUUGGAGUGGUAUUUGGGAGGAGAUGGAUUUUAUGAUCAAUUGUGCGAUGCGGCGGCAGUGUAGUAGGUGGAAAAAAUAAGUUGCGGUAGCUGUGUAGGAGGUCGAUGAAGGGUUAAGUUAAAUUUGCACGUAAUUCGAAGGAAGAACUCUCUGGAUUACUUGCCGAUUCCUCCCCAAAUGCAGGUACCUAUUGCAGAGCAAACACGCUAUAAAUAUCCGCAUGGUGGACUAAAGAUUGCAACUGAUUAAAGGUGAUUAGGGAGGGAGUAGUGGCUAAAUCGCCUCGAAGAGUCACUGGUGCCCCAUUCCAACAAAAUUCCAUAGAUAGGGCAGAGUAAUCAUGCGAGACACGGCCCAAGAGUUGCAGCCAUUGGAUUCCCAGCACCACAUCAGGCCCUUCAAUUGGCAGAACAAAGAGAUCUAAGGUGAACACAGUCCCCUGCAACGUGAGAGCAACUUGAGGGCAAAAGUAUUUGCACACCAAAAAAUCCCCAUUGCCAAUAUAAACACGGAAGGGUGCUGUUGGUUGUAUCGGUAAGCCCAUACUCUCUGCCAUUGUUAGUUUGAUAAAGUUAUGGGUACUCCCACUAUCGAUCAACACUUGAAAACUGUGAGAACCAACUUCACCAAUCAAAUGGAGUGAGCAGGGAUUGAUCUGACCCGCCAAAGCAUUCAAACUGGAAAUAUCCCCUGUUAUGACCUCUUCAACCGACUCUGGUGGCAACUCUUGCUCAAAAGAAGUAGGUUCAUUAUCAUCCGUACCUAUAAGGAGCAAAAAGUUACUGCGACAGUGAUGAUUAGCGCUAUAUUUCUGAUCACAGUUAUAACACAAGCCUUUUUCACGCUUGUCACGGAGCUCCGCUGGAGUGAGGCGACGAAUUGGUAAGUUGGGUGUGGGAAGAAAUGGUGGUAACGUGUUUAGUUUAGGGGGUGGAGGAGUAUUUUGUGAAUGAGAUGGUACGUGGACCAUACCAACUGAAUGAUUCGGUUGUGUUGAAGCAAGAGGAUACAGUUGAGGCUGAAAUUUGUGUGACGGGGAGUUUGUGGUAGGUGUGGGUGCUGUGUUGUUCCAUUUUGUCAAAAAGCGGUGUCCUUGUUUGGCCUCUUUAGCACGUGCUUCAUAGGCCCGAGCUAAUGCAAAUGCUUCAAUCAGAGAAGAGGGCCGAGCAAAAAGCAACUCACGACGAAUAUUGGGUUUCAAUCCCGUGAUAAAAAAACUUAUCAGAAGUGGCUCGGAGAUUCUAGUCACUCGAUUCAUUAAAUCUUCAAAGGCGGUCUGAAAUUCAGUCACCGUUGUAGUUUGGGAUAACUUGGAUAAAUUUCCUUGAGGAUCUUCAUAGAGAGAGGCACUAAAACGAUGUUUAAGAUUCUGUAAAAAUGCUUUCCAGGUUGUAAGCAAAUUAUUCAUCUUCAUUCAUUGAUACCACGCUGCUGCUCAUCCUUCCAUAUGAAAAGAAACAAUCCACAAUUGAAGAGUUUCUGGUGUACCAUGAAAAUCAAAGAACUCCUCAAUUCGGAAAACCCACCCGUUUGGGUCAGAUCCAUCAAACUUAGGAACCUCCAUCUUCAUAGAACGGAGCACUGGGGAUAUCUCAACACCACUGGAAUUUGCCUCAGUAGAAGAAGAUAUUGGGUGUGGUUGAUUAGGAGCUCGACCCGUGUUAUUUGAAGACCCCUGGAUCUGUGAACGCAAAUCGUCAAGGCGAGAAUCUACUGUUGCCAUAUAUUGUUGCAGCGUUUGAUGCAACGACAAUGUUUGGCUCUCGAACUAUUCUUGAAUUGUUUUUAACAGUUCAGAGUCCGUCAUGAUGAUAGCAAUGAACAAUGAAAGCACCAAUGAUACACCUCUACGCAACUAAGGAUCUAUCGGAUUAAACUUGCACUCUUCGAGUGAGUGUUGACUCCAAAAAUAUAAAGAUCAGAGAUAAAUAUUAAGAAUGGAAAGACAGGUUGUGAAAGAGAGAAGAGCCAAGAGAAAUAGAAAGAGAUAUUUUAUUUCUUCAUACCCCACACGAAUUCGUUUUGCUCUACAUAUAUUCCUCUAUCUAAGACGUUAGCAAAAAUAUUACAGCUCAGCAACUUCUAACAGAAAAUAUGACAACAAAAACAAACCAGCAAUCAUAAGGUACUAGCAAUUUCAUUACACGACAUAAUCCUUAAACCACCCAGGGGCUCUUCUAACUCGUGUGCUUGCGUACCGUUCCUCAUGAGCUGAUUCUUCCUCAACCUAUGAUGUGGCUUUCUUCAUGGGCUGUUCAUAAUUGGACUCUGUUAGAGUGCAAUUUAUGCACUAGUUUUGCAUUGUUUACUUCCCUUAAUAUCGAUGUUUUGCACUUAAUAAUAAUGAUUUACUUGUGUUUUACUUUUGUAGGUGCAAUUCUAUUGAUUCGUGAUAAAAUUGAGUUAUAAGAUGAUGUUUAAAGAUGAUUGUUCUCUUGGAGAAAUUAAGAGAGUCAGAAGAACUUUAUUGAUAAGGCAUGGGCGCGUGCUAUCAACUGCGGACCUGCGGCUUUUAGUUUAACGUGUUUUGUAUUUUUGGCUAUUUUUGUAAUUACGAAUUUAAUAUUUAAGAUAUUAGUAUUUUAUUUUAAAUAGAACUCUAAAAGAGAAGAGAGAGAGAGAUUUUAAGGAGGAAUCUAUUGUGAAAGAGGGGGAUUUUUGGAUUGGAGAAAAAGAAACCCUAGAUCUAAUUUUUCUCUUCUCUCUAUGAGGAACUAAACCCAUUUUUCUGGUUGAAGGUUAAUGAAGCUUUGAUUCAUCACUACUGUGAGAUCUUUCUUGUGCUUUAAUUGUUUUAUUACUUUUUGGGUAUUUGUUUAUUCUCUAAAUUAUUUUCAUGAUUAUGUUUGUUAAUUAGGUAAUUGGCCACUAUUUAAUUAUCAACUUAAUCUAUUGUCAAUUAAAGGAUUCAUCGUAUGAAGAAUUUGAUGUUUGUGACAAAUAACAUAGCAGAGAGUUGUGUUGUGAGAAUAAACAAUCUAAUUUAAAUGAAUCAUCAUAUGUGUUGAUUAGGAUUUGGGUCUCUCUGGUUUCUUAGGCUGUCAAUUGAUUAAAUUCUAUGAUCGUAUCUAGGGUUGUCUAUUGAUUAGGGAAAUAACCAACGGUCGUACCUUGGUUAUCGACUAGUUAAGGAGAGAUUGGCUAUUAGAGGGUCUCAGUAGCUAUAACCGAUCUAUUCAUAAGUAAUAAUAAUAAUCUAUAUUUGAAUCAAUGAUCAGUAGUCGAAUCAAGCUGAGUUAAUUCCUUCAACCAGAGCUUUCUCCAAUUUGAAUUACAACUUUAAUUUGCAUUCUUGUUUAUUUCAAUUUGAUUUUUAUUAUUGUCAACAAUUCCCCCAUUUUACGUUUUAUGUUUCAAAAGGAUUUAAAUAAUUACCGAUCUCUGUGGACACGACCCUGCUCAAUCACUAUACACAAUUUAUUUAGAGUAUGAAUUUAUUUUUGUUGGCUUCGACAUCCAUCAGACUCGUUGUUGGGCUGCCCUUCUUGUAAGUAAUCUAGUUGAUCCGACUGAAUGUGGAAGGUUGUAUCAUACACGCCCUGAAAAUCUGAAACUGAAUUACUCAAAUGAAUAUGCCUCUUCACAGCAAUUGGUUGAAACUUUACUGCAAAGACUUUUUGAAACCCUUGAAGAUGAUACUCUACCUGAUAACACAAGGAAACACAAUCAAUAUAAGAAGAUGAUUUUACGAAAAAAUGAAAGCUUGCCGUUAUUGGCAGAGCUCUACUCAAAUUUAAUGAGAUAUCUCUUAGGAGGGAGAGCUCUAAUAAUAUAUAAAGCCAAAAAUCUGAAAAUGUCUAACACUCAUCAAAUUGGCUUGUGAAGAAUUAAUCUUCCUUGCCAUCAUACAUGCCAGGUGUGGUGAACAAUCUUCAUUCUGACAUUUGCUUUAAUAAGCUGCUUAGUAUCCUUAACUUGAUAACUUACACAAACAAAAACUGUGAAAAUAGGUAGAGAAAAAGGUUAUGGAAUAAUUCUCUAUUUCAUAUCUUCAUGAGACUGUACGCAGAAUAUUACACACUGAUUUCUAGGAAGCAAUAACUUUAUAUUUACACCAAAUAUACACCUAAAUAUAUAAGGAAAACCAAAUCAAUUUGAUUGGGUCAACCUUUCAACACUCCCCCUCAAGCUGGUCUAAAAAUGUCUUUCAUGGCCAGCUUGCAAACCAAUUUCUCAAAAUGUUUCUUAGGUAGUCCCUUGGUGAAUAUAUCAGCAAUCUGCUCAUUUGUAGGAAUAUAGGGCAUGCAGACCAAACCACUGUCUAGUUUUUCUUUUAUGAAGUGUUUGUCCACUUCAACAUGUUUAGUUCGGUCGUGGAGUACUGGAUUAUGUGCUAUUGCAAUGGUAGAUUUGUUGUCACAAUAUACUUUCAUAGGUAGUGAAUUACUUGCCUUAAGUUCUUCAAGAAUUUUUUUGAUCCAAAAACCUCACAAAUUCCUAGAGCUACUGCUCUAUAUUCUGCCUCUACACUACUUUUUGCUACCACAGUUUGUUUCUUGCUGCGCCAAGUGACCAAAUUUCCUCCAACAAAGGUGCAGUAACCAGAAGUGGAUCUUCUAUCGGUUACACUACCAGCCCAGUCAGCAUCAGUGUAGACUUCUACUUGUAGGUGCCCGUUUUUUCUGAACAAAAGACCUUUACCCGGAGAUCCUUUUAAGUAUCUAAGGAUUCUAUAUACAGUUUCAAAGUGUUCUGGUCUUGGAGCAUGCAUAAACUGGCUGACUAAGCUCACUGCAAAGGCUAUGUCCGGGCGUGUAUGUGAAAGGUAGAUUAAUCUACCUACAAGGCGUUGGUACCGAUCUAUGUUGGUCACAUCUUCAAUUUUAGCUGGCUGUAAUUUCGUAUUAGGAUCUAUGGGUGUCUCGGCUGCUUUACAUCCGAGUAGACUUGUCUCUUCAAGCAAAUCAAGAACAUACUUGCGUUGAGACAUAACAAUCCCAUCUUUUGAUCUAGCAAACUCCAUGCCCAAAAAAUACUUCAGGUUGCCUAAGUCUUUGAUUUCAAAGUCACGUGCAAGCACUUUCUUUAAUCUGCAAAUCUCAACUAAGUCAUCACCAGCCAAAAUUAUAUCAUCUACAUAUACAAUUAACACGGCUAAUUUCCCUUCAAUAGAAUGUUUGUAAAACAUUGUAUCAUCUGCCUGACUUUGGGAGUAGUCGUGUCCCUUUAUAACAUUACCAAAGCGUUCAAACCAUGCUCUAGGAGACUAUUUAAGCCCAUACAAAGACUUAUGUAGUUUACACACUUUAUUGCUGCCGUGAUUUCCCUCAAAACCUGGUGGUAAAUCCAUAAAGACUUCUUCUUCUAGCUUCCCAUUCAGAAAAGCAUUUUUAACAUCUAACUGGUAUAGAUUCCAAUCAGAAUGUACAUCCAAUGAGAUAAGGACCCGGAUGGAAUUUAUCUUUGCAACGGGGACAAAGGUUUCUUGAUAAUCAAUUCCAUAGGUUUGAGUGAACCCUUUUGCUACAAGCCUUGCCUUAUAUCUCUCAACACUCCCAUCAGCAUUACAUUUAAGUGUAAACACCCACUUACAACCCACAGUUUUCUUUUCUUUUGGUAAAUCCACAAUCUCCCACGUACCAUUCUUCUUUAGAGCAUUCAUUUCCUCUAAAACUGCUAACUUCCAAUCUGGGUGGUCUAGGGCUUCUUUUAUGGUUUUAGGAAUUGGUAUCUGAGAGAUUUUUGUGGUAAAGGCUCUUUGUUUAUUGGACAACUUUUCAUAGGAAACAUAUCUAGCAAUGGGGUGCUUAGUACAGGUUUGGGUUCUUUUCCUAUGUGUUAUAGGUAAGUCAAGAUCAGGAAAAAAAGUGCUGGAAUGUUUAGGAGAAGAAAUGUUACCUGAAUUUUCUGAGGAAUCAGUGCUUGGAGGCGACGAUUGAGGCUGUACCAAGUUUAUGAGAGGGUCUUUACUGCUGUGAUGAUACUUUCGAGUAUAAACACGAAGCUCUGGUGGUGGAAUUUUAUCUUGUAGUAUUUCUCCCCCUGUCUCGGGUACAUUAACACUUGGUUCCUGUAGUUCAAGGUUUCCUAGGUUUUCAUUAUUAGAAAUAUCAGUUUUUUGAGUUUGAGUUGAAGUGCCCAGAUCAGGUAAAAACAUAUUAGGCAUAGGUGUAGAAGUAUGCCAAAAAUGAUCUUCACUAUUUUCUUUCUCCCCCUGAAGAGAAUUUGGGCCAAAAAAAGGUUGAUUUUCAAGAAAUAUAACAUCCAUACUGACAUGGAAUUUCUUUGUUUAAGGAUUGAAACAUUUGUAACCUUUUUUAUUAGGAGCAUAGCCCAAGAAAACACAUUUUUCAGAUCUAGGAUCCAAUUUAGAUCUAAGAUGGUUAGGAACAUGAACAAAUACAGUGCACCCAAAGACUUUUAACUGAAUAUUGGAGGUAAUCCUACUAGAAGGAUAUAUAAGUGUGAAGUAUUCUAAAGGUGAUUGAUACUUUAAAACACGGGUAGGCAUCCUAUUAAUCAAAUAACAUGCUGUUAAAACAACAUCACCCCACAAAUAUUUAGGAACAUGCAUAGAGAGCAUGAUAGCCUGACUAACUUCAAGUAAAUGGCGGUUUUUUCGUUCCGCAAUUCCAUUUUGUUGUGGAGUAUCACGACAAGUGGAUGUGUGAAUUAUACCCUUUUCCUUACAAAACACCUCUAGAUAAUUAUUAAAAUAUUCAGUACCAUUAUCUGUAUAGAGUAGGCUUAUUUUUGUUUGAAAUUGAUUUUCAACCAUGUUAUAAAAAUCUUUGAAUAACCCCUCAACUUCAGAUUUUUCUCUCAUUAAAUAAACCCAACAAAGCCGAGUAUGAUCAUCUAUGAAUGUUACAAACCAUUUUUUUUCCAAUUAAAGUGUUGAUUUUUGAGGGUCCCCAAACAUCACUAUGAAUUAAAUAAAAAGGUUUUGAGGCACGAUAAGUAAGUGCUUUAUAUGAAACUCGAUGACUUUUAGAUAAAAAACAACUUUCACACUGAAAAGUAGUACAAUCAACAUUUUUAAAUAAAUCUGGAAACAAAUAUUUCAAAUAAGGAAAGCUAGGGUGUCCUAGUCUAAGGUGCCAAAGCAUUAUUUGAUCCCUAGCAGAGUUUGAACUAAUACUACUGCUCAAACCUUGAGCUUGUUUAUUCAUUGAUAAGUAGUCAUCAAAAUAGUAAAGACCUUCUCGCAAACUAGCACUGCCAAUCAUCGUCCCCAAGUCCCUGUCCUGAAAUUCACAAUAGGAGUAAAAAAAGACAGCACAACAAUUAAAAUCUUUGGUUAAUUUACUGCCAGAUAACAAAUUGCAAGAAAGUUUAGGGACAUGUAGCACAUUUUUAAGCUCAAUGGUUCCAGAGAUUUUUAUUGAUCCUUUUCCAGCUAUGGAAGAUAAGCUUCCAUCAGCAACUCUUACCUUUUUGUUACCAGGGCAAGGAUAAUAGGAAUCAAAUAAACUAGAAAUGCUAGUCAUAUGAUCAGAAGCACCCAAAUCAAUAAUCCAUGGUGCAGUAGUUGAGUGGCUAAAUAGAGCAUUAAUAAUACUACCUGUUUGGGCUAGUGAACCACUAGGAGUACUAGGUGGAGGAUUAGAAGUGAGCAACUUUAUGAGAUGGUCAAUUUGCUCCUUGCUGAGAUUUUUUUCUAGAUUCUCCACUUCAUUGGCAGACGCACGGCUAUGCUUGCUGUUUUUCCAGUUUGCAGGCUUUUCGUGGAGUUUCCAGCAAGCCUCCCGAGUAUAGCGUGGUUUAUUACAGUAAUCACACCAUACUCGAGGUUUUUGUUGCUGUUGAGUGAUGGAGCGGGUAGCAUUAGCAUCUGCUGUAACAAGGGCAGAUUUUUCCACAGAGACAACGGAGUUCGUUUUUCCCAACAUAACACCUCGACGACUUUCUUCUCUCCUUACUUCAGAGAAAACAUCCUCAAGAGUAGGAAGUGGCUUUCUCCCAAUAAUUCUUCCUCUUACCUCAUCAAAUUCAACAUUGAGCCCAGCCAGGAACUUGAAGAUUCGCUCAUUAUUGACAAUUUGUUUGUGGUGUUUAAAAUCUUCCAUUCUCUCCCACUCGUAGUCAUUGAAUAAGUCCAGAUCUUGCCACAAUCUCUUUAGAGUAUUGAAGUAUUUUGUUAUACUAUAAUCUCCUUGACGAAUAUCUCUAAGAGCAAGCUGCAACUCAUAGAUCUGGGACUAAUUUCCAUAGUCAGAGUACAUCUGACUCACAUUAUCCCAGUGUUCUUUUGCAGUAGAGUAGCACAUAUAAUUUGCACUAAUGUCUUCAUCCAUGGAGUUGACUAACCACGCCAUAAUCAUGGAGUUUUCGGCAUCCCAAACACCAUAAGAGGGAUCAGAUAUUUCAGGAGCCUUAACAUCUCCGGUAAGAUAACCAAUCUUCCCUCUUCCCCUAAUAUACAUUCUAACCGACUGAGACCAUCUUUGAAAAUUUCCUUCAUUCAGCUGGAUAGUUGUAAUCUGGACAGAAAGAGAUUCAGAAUGGGAAAUUUUUUGUUCUAGUCUUUUUGAGGUGACUGUGGUUUCAGAAGAUUGGUCAGACAUGGUAGGGAAGAGAUUAGAAAGAAAGGGAGCCUAACUCUGAUACCAUGUGAAAAUAGGUAGAGGAAAAGGUUAUGGAAUAAUUCUCUAUUUCAUAUCUUCAUGAGACUGUACACAGUCUUAAUAUAGGGAUACAAGAGACUAAGAAAGGAAAGAAAAAAUUAAAGCAGAAUAUUACACACUGAUUUCUAGGAAGCAAUAACUCUAUAUUUACACCAAAUAUACACCUAAAUAUAUAAGGAAAACCAAAUCAAUUUGAUUGGGUCAACCUUUCAACAAAAGCAACUUUACUAAAGUUUAUUCCUUAAAGGCAAAAUAGUAAAGAAGAUGAUAUAUGCUGAUACAAUAAAUUGACCUGAGUUAUCCUGAUGUCAAGAAUCACAGCACCUCAUGUGGGCAAAAUCAUCGCAAUACAAGAUGCUGAAUUCAAGCAACAUCUUAUCACCUGUAAUUUAAUUAAGACAAUAACUUUCCUCAACUAUUACCCUUCUCAAUUUCAAUGUAUUAUUGGCAACUAAAUUCAUAGGGGACGUAGCUAAUUAAAUGCCCUUUUAACAAUAUCUUCCCCACCUAACAAUUAUUUGGAAAAUCUAAAUGAGAAUCAUGCAUUGAUGGCAUAAAAAAUUGGCCACAAAGCUGCCUAGAAAAAGGCUUUAAAUUCUUAAUGAGACAACGAAUUCGAACAAAUAUGGUGAAUGAAGAGACAAAGGCAUAACACCUCAAGAAGCAAAGCUCUGUUUCUGUAUGUGCUGAAACCAUUGGAAACCCAUGGAAAUGAAUUUCUACGAAUUAGACAUGUCAGCCAAAACAGGUGCUCUGUACGAGCAAAGUAAAAGAGAGUUACAAAAAAUUUUAAGAUAAUUAAACUUUUAAUCACCAUAUAAUUAAUAGAAAACUUUGUACACAAUGAUUUAUUGGAGAUUAAGAUUGUAUACCUAAGUUUUAAUUUCAAACUAAAUAUGCACAACAUGACAUUAGCAUUAGAAGACCGCACCAAAACGUACCGAAUUGAAUGUACCUCUUCGCGGCCAUUGUACAAGCAUUGAAACUUUACCGCAAAAGCUGUUUCAAACGUGAUGCACCUUAGAGAUGCAAGAUAAGAAAUUGUUAUUACAACUAGCAUUGAAACAUGUGUGGAACUGUUAAUGGACCUAAAUAACCUGAAAAUCAGAAAAGAUUAGGAAUGAGUGACUAAGCCUGCUAAUCGCAACUAAACAUACAAACCUUGAAAAUCCAAAAUUGUACUCGAUGAAUGUGCAAUUGCUCGAGCAGGUAACUGUGCAAUUGCUCGAGCAGGUAACUUUACUACAAAGGCUCUUACAAACCCUCAAAGAUGAUAAUCUACAUACCAUGGUAACCUGAAUAAUAAAAAGAAACACAGUGAAUAUUAAAGGGCAUUCUGACAAUGCAAAUUUGUGCAAAUUAACAACUGCGGUUACUUGUAUAAUAGUGUCGAUACCGAAUUCCUUCCUCCAUGGAAGCAUAUGAUCACCCCACAUGUGCUUUGCUCUGUAGCUUUUGAGUACCUGAAAUUGUUAUUACAACCAACCGUGAAAAUUGGGUGAAAAAAUGGUAAUAUUAGCAUAAUUGAAUUUGCUUAUAGAGGAUAAACCGAUCAAAGGAAAAAACAAGAUAGAAAUGAUGAUCUUAGUACCUUAAUAUCAUGUAAUAAUAAUCACCAUGCCUUCCAGGCAGCUAUCCAUCCUCAAUUGAAACAGAGCAGACCUGGCCAUCACUUUCUUCUUCAAAGUCCAGCAACUGAACGUUGCACACAACACCACAGUGGAAGUAGUUCCAACACCAGCCUAAUCCUUGAUUACCCCAAUGUUCUCCAUAGGGUCUUCAAAGUCAACCUAAAAAUAAAAAUGAAAAUGCAAUGCAUUAUUAUUAAGGAUCUAGUGCUUGAGCUUGCUUUGAUAUCAUGGUAUUAGCAAAUUCUGAUAUAGCCAAAAUGGUGAAUAAGAUGAUGUACUUGAUGAGAAAAACUUGAUUUAACAAAUAAUUAAGGAGCCGGUAACAAUCACAGAAUCUCAUCAUGUGGGGAACGCCUUGGCAACAGAAGAUGGUGCUUUCAUACAAGCAAUAGCAACUUUCCAAUUUCAUAAGGUAGUUUAAUGGCACUUUUAAGAACAUUUGUACCAGCCUAACAAUUAUUCAUGGAAAUUAAAAUUCAGAAUCAUGUUAGACUGAGAGAUGAAAUAUAAUAAGCGAUUUGGCCACCAUAUAUGCAUUUAUCACCUUCAAUUUGCUCAUCUUUGUCUAGUGUAUUGCUUCUGCAUUAACUUAAUUAGCUUGCAAGCCACCUUAAAAUGGUUUUAAAUAAAGUGUAAGAGCUCAAAUUCGAACGAAUUAAUCAAAUAUGCUGACAGGAGAAACAAAAGUAAAAUAACCACAAGAAGUAUAAAUAUACUUUUGUUAUAUUCGGAGCAUCUUCUAGCGUCAAGUUCUUUUCCUUUAGCUCUGUUUCUGUUUGUGCUCAAACGCAAUGGCUAAAGGGUCAAGAUAAUUUUAUGACCAUCAAUCUUUUUGCAGCCACAUGCAGACUUGAAAAACUGGUCGUGGCCCUAAGGAACUUGAAAAUUAGAAAAGAUUCAGAAUGAGUGACUAAAUAUUAUAAUCGAAACUAAUUAAACAUACACGCCUAGAAAAUCUGAAACUGAAUUCCUCAAAUGUAUAUGCCUCUUCGCAGCAAUUGCUUGUGGUGGAAACUUUACUGCAAAGACUUUCUCAAACCCUUGAAGAUCACACUCUACCUGAUAACAAAGAAACAGAGUCAAUAUACGAAGAUGAUUUUACUAACAAGUGAGAGCUUACACAUGUUGGAAGGAUAAUGAUUACUCAUAACCCAAAUCCCCAAUACUCCCUAAUAUCUCACUCAAGUGAGUUCGAGCUCCCAGAAUUCACUACUGUGAAACUCUCACAACAAAAUUCUCUUCAAAGAUUCUCUACUCAAAUUUGAUGAUGAUAUCUCUCGAAGGAAGGCAAAAGAAUCUAACACUGAUAAAAUUGGCUUGUGAAGAAUUAAUCUUCCUCGCCAUCAUUCAUACCAGGUGCGGUAACAAUCUUCAUUCUGACAUUUGCCUUAAUAAGCUGCUUUGUAACCUUAACCUGAUAACUCACACAAACAAAAACAACUUGCCUAAAGUUUAAUAUUUAGAGCAGAACAGUAAAGAAGAUGAUAUAUAUGAUACAAAAAUUUCACCUGUGUUACCCUGAUGUCAAGAAUCAUAGCAUCUCAUGUGGGCAAAAUCUUCGCAACACGAGAUGCUUGCAAAAUUGGAGCAGCAUCUUAUCACCUGUAAUUUAAUUGAGAGAAUAACUUUCCCCAACCAUUUCAAUGCAUUAUUGGCAACUAAAUUCAGAGGGUGCUAAUUAAAUACCCUUUUAAAAAUAUCUUCUUAUUCUUCUUCAAUCUAACAAUUAUUUGGAAAAUCUAAAUGACAAUCAUGCAUUGAUGGCAUCAAUAUUUGGCUACAAAGCAGCCUGGAAAGGGCUUUACUCUCUGAAUGAGAGCAUGAAUUCGAAACAAAUAUGAUGAAUGAAAAAACAAAGGCAUAAUACCACAAAAAGUAAAACUUUUUCCCAGGGCUCUCUGUUUCUGUUUGAGCUAAAACCAAUGGAAACCGAUGGAAAUGAAUUUCUAUGAAUUAGACAUAUCAGCCAAAACAGGUAUUCUGUACAAGCAAAGUAAAAUAGGGUUACAAAAAAUUUUAAGAUUGAUAUGAUAAUUAAAAUUGUAAUUAAAAUUUCAGUCACCAUAUAAUUAAUAGAAAACUUUGGACACAAUGAUUUAUUGCAUAUUAAGAUUGCUAUACAAAAUAUAAUAUUAGCAUUACGAGACCGCACCAAAGCAUACCGAAUUGAAUGUGCCUUUUCACAGCCAUUUUACAAGCUUUGAAGCUUUACCACAAAUGCUUUUUCCAACCCGUGAACAUGAUGCACCCGGGAGAUGCAAGCUACGAAAUUGGUACUACAGCAAGCGUUGGAACAUUUGUUAAAAAUGGAAGUUUAAGAAAAUAUGCCAUUGGAUACCUGUCUUCAGGAAUCAAUUCAUCCGUAAUAAUAAUUUUCAAGAAGUAUCAACUGCUUUAAGCUCAUCGACAUCACAGAGAUCUUCAACUAAAAUAGAGCAGAUCCGGCCAUCACUAUCCCUUCUACUGCUCUUUUCCUUUAGAGAAUGCUUGAAUUACAGAAUGCGUGUAAGGCAUUCUUCUUCAAGGUCCAAUGAUCAAACUGUUGGGGAAAAUUAGUUUUUUAAAUUUUUUAUAAAACCUUUUGAAGAUCGCUCUCAUAUAAUAUAUAAGAAUUUGUAUUCUAGAAAUCGUACCUUGAAAAUCCGAGUUGGCUUUUUCCGCUGAAGUGAUUUAGGCUCCUAGAUCAUGAUCCGCCACCACCACUCCUGUUAGAUCACGAUCCAUCACCACCACGCUUGUUAGAUCACGAACUGUCACCACCACGCUUGUUAGAUCACGAACUGUCACCAAUGAUCUUCCAGGUUAUGACUCAGGUUCGAUCUGCACUUGACGUGUGGGCGCCUUUAUCACUACCAAAGCAACUAGCACGAGAAAAAAAUUUUCUCAACAAUAGAGAGAAAAAAAUUUUCUCAACGAUCUUAUUCUCAGAUCUGUAUAAAGUGGCUUCACUCUUUUCUUUAGAGAAAAUAAGUCUUUUAUAUCACCCUUUAGUGAAAACCCUAGGCUCCAAAUAAUCAAAAAACAAAACCCACGUUAUUUGCUUUUUCAAUAGGGGACCCACCUUGUAAAAUAACAUAAGGCCCCUUACACAAAAGCUAAUUAAAUGGAGCCUCCCACUAAAUGAUAUAUUUAGGCUUUUGACCCAAAUAGCUAGUUAUCUUACUUAUUAGUCCAGUAGUGGUGCAGUCAAUUAAAUGAGCUAACCCGGGGAUCAUUUGGGAACAUACAAUAGUGGCUACAAUAAUUAGGCCUAUAAUUAAACUAGCCCAAUUAUUUAAUUCCAAAUCUACUCCACUAAAAGAUUGGAAUUGACUUCCAUUUUUGUAUGCUCGAAUAAUAAUUCGUCCCAAGCCACAUUGAUUUCUUUAUUGCACAAUCAUUUGUACCACAUCGUUAAUUAAAUUGAUAUCUCAACUGUCCAAUCAAUUUAAUAACAUCUUAUUCCUUGAUACUUACUGGUUUUCUCUAAUGAUCAUUUUCAACAUACUAAAUAUGUUGACACACUCUGGCCAGAGAAUUCUAUGAUCAAGUGCCGAAAACCCAUCAAGAGAUGUGUUGUACAAAUUCUAUAUUGUUAAUCUAUAACUCCAAUACUCAUAAAUGCUCCCACCAAGAUACCGGGUAAUCUAGACUACAAGUAUGUGUCAUGCCCAUUGGUAACUCAAAUGGAAUAACAAUUACAAUCAUGAAAUCAUAAUUAACUCAAGAUUAAGAUUACAGUAAAAUCAAUGCCUAUGAGAUUUAAUAAGUCUGACAGUUAUUACAAAGUUAAUUAAAUCUCAUAUGUGAUCCUGUUCAAUGUAGUCGUACUACAUCAAUAAAUUCAUAUAUGAUUAAGACAAAUCAUUUAAUGAAUUUAUUACAGUCUAUACCUAAAUAAAGUGCCCAACUUUAUUUAUCAACUGCGAACAAAAUUUAUUUAAUCAUAAGAUAACUUGUAUUUAUGUCUUCUGUGAAUCCACAUGGUGAUCACAUAAAUACAUAUAAUAUGAUUAAAUGGACUUUAAUAAAAAUAUUAAUGCAAUUAAGAUAUUUGAAUAAAAUACCUCAUUAAUUUUAUUAAUCAGAAAAAAUAUUUAUUACAAUUAAAUAAACACAUAUGCUUUUAAAGAGCAUAUUUUCCCAACACAAACCUUUCACAAUAAAAACAGAGGUAGUAGUUCCUUCGCCAGCCUAAUCCUUGGUCUCAGGAAUGUCCUCAACAGAGUUCUCGAAAUCAAGCUAAAAAUUAAGAAUGAGUUGGAAAACUGUUUAUGGCCCUAAAGAACUUGAAAAUCAGAAAAGAUUAAGAAUGAGUGACUAAACAUUUUGAUCGCAACUAAACAUACAAACCUUGAAAAUCUAAUUUUGAAGUACUCUUAAAUGAAUGAGCAAUUGCAGGAGCUGGUGACAACUAAGGUUACUGUGAAGUGUCUUACAAAUCCUUAAAGAUGAUACUUUACAUACCACGAUAACCUGAUAACACAUAGGAACACAAGGAACAUUAAAGUGUAUUCUGACAAUGCAAAUUUGUGGAAAUUAUCAGCUGUGGUUACCUAGACAAUAUUGCCAACACCAAACUCCUUCCUCAAUUGAAACAUAUGAUCAGCCCACAAAUGCUUUGCUUUGUAGCUUUUGAGAGCCUGAAAUUGUUUUCACAACCAACAAUGAAAAUUGGGUGAAAAUUUUGAUAAUAUUAGCAUAAUUCCAUAUGUUUAUAUAGGAUAAACCGAUCAAAGAAUGAAACAAGAUAGAAAUGAUGAUCUUAGCACCUUAACAUCAUGCAAUAAUAAUCAUCAUGUCUUUCAGGCAGCUAUCCAUCCUCAAUUGAAACAGAGCGGACCCGCCCAUCACUUCCUUCUUCAAAGUCCAGCAACCAAACGUUGCACAAUAACCACAGUGAUAAUCCUUGGUUACCCCAAUGUUCUCCGUAGAGUCUUCAAAGUCAACCUAAAAAUGAAAUAAAAAUGCAAUGCAGAUGGAAAUUGAAAAUUCUAUAAAUUAAAUAAAAUAAAAAUGCAAUGCUUUAGCAUCAUCAUAAUAGUAAAUUUUUAUAUACCUUUACUUCUCUGUUCUUGUUUAUACACAACAAGAUAUCAAUAGAAGAAGAUGGAAAUGAAAUUCUAUAAAAUAAAGCAAGUGAAUUACCAGCAGAACAUUUUAGCAAUCCUUUGGCUAAACUUUUCAUUUUCAUAGUUUUGCUCUCCUGCCUGCAUCAUUAGAACCAAAUUAGCUUGGACCUGCGAAUUGCUAGUGUAGUUCUGACAUUUCCUCGAAUCCCUGGUGAACAUAAUUACACUCGUAUGAAAUAAAACAAAGUGGGCUAAUGUACUACCAAAAACAAUUAUACAAUUACUUUAAAGAAUUAAUGUCACAUAAAUUAUAUAUAUAAAAAAAAUAUGAUUAUCAUUAUACAAGAUAAAAUUGAUAAUUUAGUUUUCAACAUUACUGCAAAUGUAUCACAGAGAUUUUGUCUCUCAAGAAGUUACACAUAACAAAUUUUCGUACAUUAAAAAAUAAAUUACAUUGGGAUUUUCUAUGAUGUUGUAUGAAAUUUUACAAAAGACUGCAUAUUUUUUAGAAGAAAAUAUAAAAAUUUCAAUAGACUAUACUUUUUUUUUAAUUAUUAUUAUAUAACCUUGAUAAUACAAGUUUAAUAGAUUUGAUAACUAGGAAGUUUAAAUUUUAAAUAACUGAAAUUAAAAUAUUAUCUUAAUUAACUUUUGACUUUAUGAAUUAUUGAUUAACUCUAACAGUACAUAUAUAUACCAUGAUUGAUUUUAUAAUUUUUAUAACAGCAUCAUAGAGUGACCCAUUAAAUUAAUGGUUGAAGUAAACAAAAUUCAAUAUGCAAAUCAAAAUAUUAGAAAAAUAUUAUAUAUUCCUGUCAGACAUUGGCAAUAUAUAGAAUUUUAAUUCAAAAUAUAAUUAUUUUUAUUACCGGCGAGUGAUAUCUUACGCCGACAGAAUGAUGUGGGGAAUGUGAGAUAUUUUAUGCCACUUUUCUCCUUUCCCCUCUCUAUAAUGGUUUUCCAGAAGAGGACAUCUGUCAAUAGUCAAUUCCUGCAGCGUCGACGUUCGAAGGAGGUAAUCCGACAGCACCUUUAAUUUGGGGCAAUACCAAAUUCGUAAGGAAGAAAGAUGUGGUCCUGCGAUCUUCUAGAAUGGGCAGUUCUUCUAGAAGAUCACAAGAAUAAAUACUUAGUUCCUACAAAAUUUAACUUUAAGCGACGGACUUUGUCACCAAAAGAAUUUAUGACUGAUUCCUUAGUACCAUUAAUUUCUAGCCACAGGCAUUCUUUGCUACUUACAAACUGAGCAAAAUCAUGUACUAUGUCAUGCAUCUUGAAACUCAUAAUAUUUCUUAAACUCUUGAAAGAAAGAGCGUGCUGCUAAAAUGUUGAAAUACUCUUCUCCAAUCAUCUCCAUUUCUUCGUCUUCUUCUGCAUUAAGGUAAUCUUGAGCCAUCCACAGAUUAAUCAAUUCCUCUUUAUCCAUAUUGCAGUCUUUUGGAAAGACAGUACAAUAUGAGAAACACCGUUUUACCAUAGAAUUGGAGGGUAAAUCGUUAUAACUCAACAACAAAGGAGUCAAAAGACCUUGCCCAAUCUCUUGUACUUUCCACAUUUCACUCCCUAAAAUUCUUUGUCACUCUUUUACUGUACUUUUAGACCGCAAGAGAUUCCCUAUUACCUUUGCAGCAACAGGCAAGCCUUUGCACUUGUGUGCAAUUUUUCGCCCCAUUGGUUCUAAUUUUUCACGAUCCUCAAAAGAACGACCGAAAAAUGCUAACCGCUCGAGCAACGACCAGCAUUCCUCUUCAGCCAAUUGCUCAAUGAAGAUAAUAUUUGUUGAUCCCAUCAUAUGUGCAACUGACUCAUUACGUGUGGUAACCAAAAUUUUACUUCCGUGGAGACCAUUCUUUAGAUAAAGGAAAAAUGGUUCCCAUUUGUUGUAAUCCCCAUCCCAUACAUCAUCUAAAACCAGAAAAAACUUUUUUCCUUCGAUUGAUCUAUGGAUAUGGCUCAUAAGAGAUUGGAAUUCGCUUAAACUAGAAGCUAACUCGCCUAAACCUUCAAUGAUUGCUUUGGCAACCCUAAUCUCCUCAAAAGUGUCUGAUACACACACCCAUAUAACUUUUUCAAAAUUUCUUUUCACCUCAUCAUUAUUAUAGGCCAGUUGUGCAAGAAUAGUUUUACCUAUACCCCCUAAUCCAACUAGUGAGAUGACAUAAAGGCCUUGUUGUUGUUCACUACUUUCACACAACAACUUGCUUAAGAGCUCAUUUUUCUCAUCAACUCUACCGCAAACCUCCCCCUCAUCAAUCAAGGAGGUGGUUCGCACUCGCUCUGGUUUCUUAACAUUGUUGCUCACAUUCUCAACAAAUUUAAACGUAUCUUUUUGGGAGGCAAUAUCAUCUAGCUUUCCAUUGAUUUCCCUAAUCUUGACGGCAAUGUCAUGACGAAGACUAAGUUGUUUGAUACAGCACAAAAGAAGGAGCGUACCUUCUUCUUAUGAGGAGCAAGAGCAAGAGCAUUGUCAUCAUCAACGCCCUCAAUCUGCAAUUUGAGCCUUGCAGUGGUCCACUCCUCCAGCAUGUCUUCCAUGUCGUAAGAUGCGUCUUUGAGCUGAUCCAGCCAAAAAGUAACAGCUUUGUCUUGCUGCAUUUGCCUUUGCUCUGCAUCCUCCAGCACAGCUCGAAUGGCCUGAAGAUUUCUGGUAAGCUUUUUCACUUCUUCUCGGACACCAGUCAGAAGCCUCACCUGUUGUUUCACUUCAUCAGCCGCAACAGAGAUCAGCUGCUCCAGGAGAGAGGAAACGAUCGCAUCAACCAUUCUAACAAAGAAGACGAGAAUUCUAAAGAGUUAUUAGAUGUGCUUUUGUUGCGAUGAUACUGAAAAUGUUUAUACUGCAUAGAAAAUGUUUAUGCUUAUCCCCACCCCACACGUCAAUGAUUGUAGAAUGUUUAAUUUUCCUGAUUCUACUCCACUGGUUAUGAUGCGUAAUUAUAAAUAUUCUCAAGUUAUGUAUGAAAAUAGCACAAAUUUGGACCUACUAAUGAUUUUUAUGAUUUUUGUGUCUUUACUUUUUCAUAAUCUUCUACUGUAAGAGUUCAGAUUUAAUUACUACUUUAAAAACUGAGCAAAAAAAAAUAUCAAGCAUUAAUUAAAAUUCACAAAGGAAUAAAUAACGAAAGAAAAAAAGAUUGGAAAAGUCAUAGAUGUAAAAUAGCACAUUGUUUUUUUAAUAAUCUAAAUAAAAUUAUUAAUAUUCAUGUUAGUCCCUAAAAAAUUAAUAAAUAUAACUAAAAAAAUCUUAUUAGUCUCCAUGAUCAAAAUUUAUUGAAAUAUUUUUAGCCUGGGUUCAAAAAAAAAUAAAUUUCCCAACUUCACACUAGCUAAAUCUAAAAUACACGUUCAUAUAUAGAUAUAUUCUUUCUCGCAGACGUCCGUACAAAAUAAAGUGCGAAUACGACAUUUUCCAGUCUAUCAAAAUGAUUUUUAUUAUUGUAAAAAUAUUAAUAAUAAACUAAAAUAAUAUAUCUACACGUUAUUUCGUCCAGAAAUAUGUAGAGAGAAUAUCUUAAUUUCUAGGGCCCGGCUACGGUGCAACUGUGGUACCGUGCCAUAAUUGCAUCUUACCGUUGGAUGCACUUACAUGGAUGGGGUUCACUGACAUCCAACGGCUGGAUGCAACUAUGGCACGAUACCACAGUUCCACCACAGGUUUUCCCUAAUUUCUAGUAACAUCAUAGUCAAAAUUUUAUCAACAUUUAUGCGAAGGAGUCCCCACUCUCCACCUGGGGGAAUUUGGCAUUUGAUGAAAAAAGUUAUGCUUAUACCCACCCACACGUUAGUGGUUGUAGCAGCAUCUUUGAUUUCCCCGAUUCUACUCCGCCGAUGAACACAUGUUUUGUAGUAACAUCUUUAAAUUCCCACACGUUAGGAAUUUGGCACAUAAUCACAAACUUGUCGCAUCUUUAACGUAUGAGGUUGAUGAAUAUAUUCUUUUCUCAUGUCAAUUUAAAACUCCGAGUGUGUUUCCAACAAUUGCUUUUCUUUUUCUAUUUUUGGAUUUUUGAAUCAUAAUUUUUCAAUUCAAUAAUGGCCUCUUCAAUUAUAAAAUAUGGUAGAAGGGGAUGGGGUGUAGUGUCUAGGCCCCCGCGACAACGGCAUCUUUGGACGUGGGCUUCAUCAUUUCUCCUUUUUUAUUUAAAAAAAAAUUACUUCUUGCAUGAUCUAAUUGGUCUUGUUUCAAAAGAAACAAAAAAAUAAUAAUAAAAAUAACUAAAAUAAAAUAAAAUAAAUCAUAUUCUUUAUCUUAAUUGCUUUCAUUUGUGAUUGACAUGUACUCAUGCAUUGUGUUUUUGUAUAUUUUAUUGAUAUGUUUCCUUAAGGGAUAAACUAAUUAUGUAGCAAAAUUUUAUUAGAGCUAGGAUUAUUUAUAUGUGUUCUAAUACUUUGAACAUCUUACUAUACACUUGUCUAUCAAAUUUUAACAUUAAUUUUUCCUACUCAUUAAAAUAUCAAAAUAGUCAUUGAUAAACAUCUUUCAUUAUUAUUAUUUUUUUUUAUAUAUUGAUAUAUUACAAUUAAAAUUCUAUUCCAAAAUAGUCAUUAACUAGACAUCUUUUAUUAAUGUUCAUUUUUUUAUACACUCAUAUAUUACAAUUAGAAUUCUAUCAAGACUAUCCUUGAUAAUUCUAACAUAGUACAACCAAAAAAUUCUACCCUUGCAAGAUACUAGAGAGAUAUUUAUUCUACUCUUAUUAAUCGAGAGAUAAUUUUACCUCUACCUAAUUUAAUUGGGAGGAAAAUCGAGAGAGAUAUCUAUUCUAUCCUUAUUAAUUGAGAAAUAAUUUUAUCCUUACCCAAUUUAAUUGGUAAGAAAAUUGAAUUCCAACAAUAACUAGGACUCGAACCCAUGCACUUAAGCUAACGUUAAAUGCUUCGACGCAUGGUUAUAAUGUUCUUUAUUUAAAUCCUAAUAAGAGGUGGGACUUGAACUUGUGCCUACAAACAUUGAGUGCUCAGGGCUGCAAAAUUUCACAACUUAAUUUUAAUUCAUGUGGCAUGUGCCCUAUCACAUAAACGUAGAUAAUAAUAAUUAAUACAUUAACAAAAUGAAAAAUAUUAGUUUACAAAAUACAAAUCCUAAUUUUUUGUGUGUGAGAGGGAACCUAAAAAGGGAGAGACUAAACAAAUAUGGUGACAAAUGACAUGUAUUACCAAAACUAAAAACACGAAGUCUAGGCAACUGAAAACAUCUCUGUCAAUUGCAAUGAACAGAUCACAACCCUUCAUAAUUAAUCAAAAUUAAACUUUAAAAAAAAAAAUCACACACACACAAAACAAUCACAACACACUAUUUGUUCUGAUCAUCCCUGCUUUUUCUUAGCGUAGCUCUUGGAAUGAAAAUUAACAAAAAGUGUCAAGAGAGAAGCAUUAAACACAGCAUUGAAGCACCAACCCAAAAUCCCUGACCAUCCAAAUCCCGUAAAAUGAUAAUACAGCAUCAAAACCGAAACAACAAAACUAAACACAAAUUGAACAAUCUGACAAUCAUGAGUGACCAAUCUCUUCCACUUUGGCCGCAACUCCAUCACACACAAUAGAUAGUGCCCGUACAUGAUCACGUGCACACUUGCAUUGGUGACAAGUGCCAUACGAAACAAAGACUGCUUCGUCUGUAACCAAAGGUAGCACAUUACGACGACGGUUGCAUGGUGGUAGACGUGGAGGAACGUGAGCCGUUGGACGGAGUUUUAUUUGAAUCAAUAAGGUGUUUGGCACGAGAGAAAGUGAAAGAAAAUUAAGAAAGAAAAUUUGACUAUGAAGUUUCUGGAACAAUCACAGAUUCUUAUUGAUUAAAGCUGAAAUCAUACAUUAUGAGCGUACUAGUCACUAUUUAUAGUCACACUCAAACUGAUUACAGAAACAAAGCUCAAAGCUGCAAUAUUAACAAACUAAUUAGCCUUCCAAUCAUAACAAGCCAGCUGGACAAUUCGUUACAACUUAUUCAGUGCAAAUAACAGCCCAAUCCAGCUCAGCAACUUAGUUACAAAACAUCAGUCAACUCAGCACCUUCAGCACGUCACCAGCCAGCUCAGCAGCUUCAGCUUAUACUCUUAACAUCCCCCCUCAAGCUCAGCCUAGUGAAGUCAGGGUGAGCUUGUCUCUCAGAUAAUGAAAAGGGUGAUAAGCUAAAGCUUUAGUAAGGAUAUCAGCUGAGUUAUGAGAACUUGGAACAUAACUAACUUGGAAGCUUUUAUUAGAGUUAAAUUUAAGUUCUUGGAACAUAAAUAACCUUUUUCUCGCAAGAAAUGAACAUCAAGUUCUAUGUGUUUAGUUCGGGAGUGGAAUUUAGGAUUACUUGCUAAGGCAGCUGCACUUUGGUUAUCACACCAAAUCAAGAGAAAUGCCAAUUUCAGCCAACAAGGACUUGACUGUUUCUGUAUAAACAUCAAAUUCAGUAAAAAAAGUUGUUAUCUAAUGACAAAAGAAUUUGUCUAAAAUUCCAAUUGAACGCAUAUUAAGUAUUUAAUACCAAGUAAAAUCUGAGAUCAAAGGAAAUUCUAAUAUGACAUCUAAUAGCUAAGUAGAAAAUAAAUAUAUUUAAUGAGGGUAUCUGUGAGAAGAAAACUGAUUUUCUAUUCAGAUAUUUUAUCAUUUAGAUAAAAUUGAAGAGAUUUUACUUUUUCUAUUCAGAUAAAAAUGUCUUACAAUAAAACUCCACGUAAAUUUUUCAAUUUAGCGAUAGCAUAUGGAUCCGAUCCAUUUCUUGUCUAUAUGGCGGAUAAGUUUUAUUAUCGGGUAGACAAAAGCAAAAGCCAUUAUCUUACUAAUUCAUUUGGUCUAUUGAAACUCCAAGAUCUAAUUCAAAGAGCGCGACUCAAAUAAUGGCAAUUAGUAAUUUAUUACAUCUGCAGUUAGACACUUUGUUUGAGAAAAAAGAAUAAAAUCAGUUCCAUAAUGAUUUUAAUUACAAUAAAUAUCAUACUAUGGUCUAUGGACACGCCUCAUAUUACAAAGAAAAUACGUGAAAUAUGAUUAAGGGAUAAAGCUUUCGACAACCAUUUAUAAAAUUGCUUUUGAAAAAUUGUUCUGAUGAAAUGAAAUUAUAUGAAAUUACUAAGAAUUUAAUCUGCCUCUGAAGGAGGAUUAAUUUUAGAUGAUUUUUCUAUUUAUAGCUAUUAUGUAGUCGUUAGAAAUUUCAAAUUUUGAGAAUUUUGCUUGUAGCUACAGGUUGCAGUCAUUUUGAUUUGGAGACUGAUUGAUAAUUAAAGCUAAUGUUGCAAGUAAAAAACAAAAUGAAAAAUAAUUAAAAAAAUAAAAAUCAAGGAGUUAGGCCCAAACUUUAUUAAACUUUUAAUAAAGUCUAUUUCUCAUUUUGUCAUAAUGAAAAAUAAUUAAUAAAAAAUGAAACAACCAGUUUACUUUGACUUUAUUUCACAGAAUAUAAUGUCUGAAAUUUAUAUAUCAUGUAUUCUAGGGUCAAAUCAGUCUUUUUGCACAUAACAUUUAAUAUUUCAUUAAGAAACCGCAAAGAUUAUUUCAAAGCCUUUAGGGUCAUGGUCUCCUCCGGAAGUGGCAAAUUCAGGUUCGGAUCAACCCGAUCAAGUUUCAAUUUGAUUGGGUUGGAAUAUUUGGAUUGGAUCGUAUUGAAUUAAAAAUUCAGGUUGAGUUUGGAUAUGAUCGGAUUAUAAUUAUAUGCGGGCCAUGUCAAGUUUGGAUUAAAAUUAGAUUUGGGUCAAUUAGGCUGAAUUCGAAUAAUGUUCGGAUUAGGGGUAAAUUUUGAGCUUGUUUACUUUUAUUUAUAUUUUUUCAAAUUACUUUAGUCAUUGAAGAUUGUUUUAAUGUAAUCAUCUCAUUUUAGUUCGUUUUUACCAAUUUUCAGCAAAAAAUGAAAAAAAUUACUGCUAUGAAAUCAAAUGAAUAAAAAUUAAAAUAAACUACUAUUAUCGAAUCGAAUCUCCAUCUCUUUGCCCUCUUCUGCAUUAAGGUAACCUUGAGCCACUGAUAGUGUAAUUAGUUCGUCUUUAUACAUAUUGUGGUCUUUUGAAAAGCCUCACUUGUUCCCUUCAUCAGCAACAAAGGAGUUCAGCAGCUCCAGGAGAGGGGAAGCGAAUCAAGCGAUCAAAGAAAAGGAGAAAUAAUUUGAUGAGUUAUUAAGCGUGCUUUUGUUGCGAAAAUACCGAAAGAAAAGGAGUUGUCACAUUCUUUUUAUACUGCAUGAAAAAUGUUUACUCCUAUCCUCUUGUAUAUAAUAGUUUAAAUCUCCAAAAUUUUUCUUUAUUUGAGUUUUAAAAAAGUUAUGUGAAUUUACUGUAAUUAUUUCUUGGGAGUGGGGGUGGAUUUACAAAAAUUGCAGGGUGAAAAUAUCACUACCCUUUUUGUUUAUUAAUUAUUGUAAAAUGCACAUCUUUCAUAUGAACACAUGUUUUUUUUUUUUAAAUUUACCUCCUACUUAGAAUGACAGUCUUUAAUUUUUUUUUUAGAAACGUGAAACAUCAAUUUAAAUUGUUUACAUUAAGAAGACAAUAUGUAUGUGUGUGUGUGUGUAUUCCUUAUCUUUUGAACAAAUAUAAGGACAAAUUGAUGUUUUUACCCUUUAAGAAGUAAAUUAAAGUUUGUUAUUCUAGUUUGGCAUUAAAAGAAGCUUAGCCCUGUAAUAUAUAUCAUGUAGACCAAGGUGACUUCGUCGUGAAUUCUUGUAAUCAAUUUCUUUUGUUCUUUUAUCUAACUAGAAAAGAAAAUUAAGGGGAGCAUUGUCUAUCGAAUUGAGCUUCUCUCAAGAAAAAUACGUACGGAUGAUUUAUAUAUAACCAUUAAAUAUGUUAAGACAUUUUGUUAUUUUUUUAGUCCUAAAAGUAUGAGAGAAAUUAACAUUUUUUGAAUUUAUUUAUAUACCAUAAAUUAAAGAAUGAAAUUAUUUACAAAAUUAUUUCAACUUUCAUGAUUUAAACAAGCAAUCAUCAUUGAUUUCAAUACAAAGAAGUAUUUCGGGUAGAACCGAUUUCUUUACCAAGAUAUGAUGUACAUGUAUUUGGGACUUCUUACUCUAUUAGCUUAAAUAACUACAUAACAAAUAUGACAUAAUCUAAUUGGUCUUGUUAUUGACAUGUACUAAUGCAUUCUAUUUUUGUAUAUUUUAUUGAUAGGUUUCUCUUGAGGUUGAGGAUAAUAUUCACUGUGUGGCAAAAUUUUAUUAAAACUAAGAUUAUUUAUGUUCUAAUACUUUGAACAUCUUAAUAUACACUCAUCUAUAAUAUUUUAACACUAAUUUUUGGAUAAAUUAUAUUUUAACCCCUUAUGAGAUUUACAUAUUUUAAUUUACUCAAAAAUAAAAAAUAAAAACUUCAAUUUACUCUCUAAAAUCUGUUAAAUUUAACUAUCAACCAAUAUUGACUCACUAAAAUACGAUAAUACCCCUGUUAAUUAUAGAAUAACUUAUGUUACUGAUAUAUUUAUGUUGGAAAGAUAUAUCACUUAUAUCCCUACUAUUUCUAAAAUAUAACUAAUUCAAACUUUAUGUGUGUCAUUAAUGAAAAUCAUCCUCUAAUCUAUUUUUUAAAAAAUAAAACAAAACCUCAAUAAUAUAUUUCAUAAAACAAGCAUAUUUCGGAAAGAGCUUGCCUCUUUGGUUGUUUUAAAUAACCAACGUAAUCAGUAGUAGUGCUCUAAUAAUACAUAAACCCAUAGACAUGCCAAGUAUACAUUGAUCCAAGCAAAUGGUUGUUAAUAAUUUUAAUGAUUAGUCUGGUUUUGGGGUUCAUUGAUGAAUUUGGGAAGAAGCUAAAGACUGCUUCGUCUGUAACCAAAGGAAGCACAUAACGACGACGGUUGCAUGGUGGAAGACGUGGAGGAACGUGAGCCGUUGGUCGGAGUUUGACAAAAUGAUCAAAAGGGUGUCUAAGAAUUCGAGUAUUUUGGAGAGGUAGAAGAUGUAAGCGUAGAAGAAGAGGGGGCCAGACGGAGAAAUGGUAGGGGGGAAACAGAGGGUGCAAUCGAGGUGGGGUAAAUGGAGGAUGAUGGAGAGAGUGCAACCAACGGCCAUGAUGACGGACAGGAGGAGGAGGGUAAGGUUAUGGACGGCUGUGAUGGGCUUGAGGAUGUGGGGUCCAAUGAAAGGUGAUGAUGGUGGUGAUGUUGAUGUUGAUGUGUGGUAGAGGAUGAAUGUGAGGGAGAGGUAAGUGAGGAUGGAGAGAAUGAGGAAGUGAGGGGAGGAAGCUAGUGUUUGGUUCUGAGUCCAUGUGAAGUUGAGGAUUUGGGGGUGGUUUAUAGCCAAUAUUGGAGUGUUGCGGUAAUUGAAUAUGAAGCCAUGGCUGGUUUUUUGGGGGAGAAAGAUUUGGAAGAGAUGAUGUUGAGAGGAACGGGGGAGUUUAUAAAGUUUUGGGAUAAUGCGGAGGGUAUUUUGGACAUAUUGUUAUCUUAGCUUAAAUUUUCGGAAAAAGAUAAUCAAUAAUAAGCUCUUUUUUCAUGUCAAUUUAAAACUCCGAGUGUGACUCCAAAAAUUGUUUUCGUUUUUCUAUUUUGGAUUUUAAAUCGUAAAUUUAGUAAAGGAAGUUAAAUCAAGUGAUCACUUUUUUUUUUUAAUGUAAAGCAAUUAUUUUUUUUUAUGAUUUAAGCAAAUAUUGAGCUUCGUACUUUAACGAUAUUAAUAUUUGAUUCAAAAUUUCAUCUACUGAAACUACAAAAAUUAAUAUUUUCUAAUAAAUCAAAACUAAAAUUAAAAGAUGACUCAUUGUCUGCCAACUGUCAUUAAACGAAGCCAUCACCCACGCCAAAAAAAAAAAGUGAUAUAUGCAUUUUAACGUAAUUUCAUACCAACAAAUCAUUCUUUUCUUUCGAACAAUGAUCUCUUUAAUUAUCCAGGGCUUUGUGAUAACGGCAUCUUUGGAUGUGAGUGUCAUUAAACUUUUGGCUCAAUCAGACUUGUGGAUUACAUGCACUCAACGUUGAUAAUAUAGAAAUGGGAGAAAAUUAUGUCAGAAAAAUCAAGUCAGUCAAAUAAGAAUUGUGUAUUUUUGAAAAAGUUGAAAAAAAUGGAUUGACGGUGCAUAAUUUCCUAACUCACUAGAAUUUCCUAAAGUAGGAGUAAAAAAGACUCCAAAGGAACAUGGCAAUUAUUAUUAUCUAGGAAAUAAUUCAUAGCUAAAACAAAAUUAAAUUUCCUAACUCACUAGAAUUUAACUGGAGAAAAAUUGGAAUAUACAACGUUGUAUCACAUAUAGUACUUAGACAUCAAGAAAAGAAUCCAUGUAUCAGUGAACCAUACUUGCCAGGAAACACCAGGCGAAUACCACCACCUGGGGUUUUUAAAUAAAGAUGCCUUAAAAGUAGGGUAUUUAGUUAAAUAUACCCCAUGUUUGAAAAUUAUCUAGAUAUACCUUUUUCUAUGGUACAUUGUCUAAAAUAUCCCUAAAGAAAAAUAUAAAACACACACAACUCACCUCCAACACUCUUUACUUCUCACUCUUUUUAACUCCACACAACAAAAACUCACUCCACACUCAAAAUCACUCACGAACAGCCAAUGCACUGAGAUUUUAAUUUGCAGCUGGGUGCAUUAUUCAUCACAUGAAUAAGGUAUUUGAAACUUUAUUUUUAUUUUGUGUUAUUUAUUUAUUUUGUUGACAUUAUAUUAUUUUUAGGGUUUUGUUUGGUUUGUGAUAAACAAUAAAGCAACUCACAUUUUCAUUAUAUUUGCAUCAUAUGACUGUUAUUUGAUGGAUUUUAUAACUACAUUCGUUAAAACCUGAAGUUGCUGCCAAAAUUUUGUUCUGCACCCCGACAUACACGACAGCAGUCGUGUAUGUAUGGAUUUACACGACAACAGUCGUGUAUGUAUGGAUUUACACGACAACAGUCGUGUAUGUAUGGAUUUACACGACUGUAGUCGUGAAAAUGUGCAAAAGAUUCAAAUUAUUAUGACACCCUAUCAUUUUAUUGGUGCAAAAAAUAUAUUAUUUUCAUUAGAUAUAUCAUUUUACUAUUACUAGACUAUAGUAGUGUGUUUUAAUAAGUUACACGACUACUAUCGUGUACGUAUGAACUUACAUAUUAUAAUUGUACAUAUAUGUAAAAUGUUCCAACUAUUAUGAGAUCCCAACAUUUUAUCAGUGCAAGAAAAAUAUUUUUUAAAGAAGAAAUAUGUCAUUUGACUAUUUAUAGUCAUGUAUUUCUAUAACUUACACAACUGUCAUCAUGUAUGUAUGACUUUUGUCAUGUAUGUAUGUAUGAAUUUACACGAUAGCAGUUGUGCAAGAUUGAAAGAUAUAGUAGUUGUUAUGACACAUAGCAUUCUGUUAGUAUAAAGAUUACAUUUUUUUACUAAACAUAUUCUAUAACUGUUUACUAGACUAUAGUUGUGUAUUUUAGCAAGUUACACAACUAUUAUCGUGUAAACUAGCUAUUUACACGACAGCUGUCGUGUAAAUAGACAGAUAGUUCCACACUUCAUAAUAUACCUUGUUUGAUUUUUUUUUUGUAUAAUCAUCUGUUGUAUUAUUACAUGAAGUGACUUCAGUAUGUGUGCCUAUUAUUCUUUAGAAUCAUAAGAAAUUAUGAUAGCAUCACAAGGUGAAGAAAAGUUACGCCGUAAGUACUGUAGGUGUGGUUCUCAAUGAUAUAAUCGACUAACUUGCAAUGCACCAAUCUCAUUGUCUAACAAUGAGCCCGUAGUUAGACCGAAUGAAACAAAAACAAGCACACAUACUACUAUGAACCUUACAUACUUGUCAUUUUUGUUGUUUUAAUUUCUUUAAUAUCUAAAAUAGUUAGUUGAUAAAUUUCUACCUUUUUUGUCUUGCAGCUGGAUAAACAUGUUGUGUGGCUUAUGUUGUUUUCAAAAGGAGGCGAACGGGGCCUUAUAAUACAUGGGUCGAGUGUUUGGGUUGAGCAUGCAAAUAAUUAUGAUGAUUGUGCAGCAACUUCGAUUAUAUUACGACUUAUUUAUGAUUUGAACAUGUAUUGGAUCUAUGUUGUUUGAUGCACAAUUACUUUUGUUAUUUGUUAAAUUGAAGUAUAAUAUGUUAAAGUCUAUAUUGAUUUUGUUGUCAUUAUAAUGAAUGUUUUAGGUAAUUUUAUGUUCUAUGUCCACUUACCCAACUACAGUCGUGUAUUUUGGCUCUUACUCGACUAUUGUCGUGUAUAUCUGAUUGUACUCAACUAUAAAUGUGAAUCUAUUAAAUACUCGACUAUUGUCGUUUAUUUAUGAAAAUACCCGACUAAAGUUAUGUACCAAUGCAAAUACCAGCUGGUCAUGUAUGUUUGCAAAUGCUCGACUGCAGUCGAGUAUCUGUGAAAAUACUCGACUGCAGUUGUGUACCAAUCCAAAUACCACCAGGUUAUAUAUGUUUGGAAAUAUUCGACUGCAGUCGAGUAUCUGUGAAAAUACCCGACUGCAGUCGUGUACCAAUGUAAAUACCAGCUGGUUAUGUAUGUUUGUAAAUACUCAACUACAUUUGAGUAUCUGUGAAAAUACCCGACUGCAGUCGUGUACUAAUGCAAAUACCAGCUGGUCAUAUAUGUUUGAAAAUACUCGACUGCAGUCGAGUAUCUGUGACAGCUGGUCAUAUAUGUUUGAAAAUACUCGACUGCAGUCGAGUAUCUGUGAAAAUACCCAACUGCAGUCGUGUACCAAUGCAAAUACCAGCUGGUCAUGUAUGUUUGUAAAUACUCGACUGCAGUCGAGUAUCUGUGACAGCUGGUCAUAUAUGUUUGAAAAUACUCGACUGCAGUCGAGUAUCUGUGAAAAUACCCAACUGCAGUCGUGUACCAAUGCAAAUACCAGCUGGUCAUGUAUGUUUGUAAAUACUCGACUGCAGUCGAGUAUCUGUGAAAAUACCUGACUGUAGUCGUGAACCAAUGCAAAUACCAGCUGGUCAUGUAUGUUUGCAAAUACUCGACUGCGGUCGAGUAUCUGUGAAAAUACCUGACUACAGUCAUGUAUUUGGGUUGAGCAUUUCUUGAGCAUAUAUGACCAUUCUAUUACAUCACAUAUAUUAUAUAAAACUAUCUUCUCUGUCAUUAAUAUACUUAAUAAAAAAAACAUAUGUAUGAUGUCAAAUUAACUUUAAUGAUAUCAAAUAUCAACAACAUCCCAUUGUAAUCAUUACAUCUCAUGAUAAGUAAUCCAAAAAAUGACACAUCAAUGAAGUUUUUAAGAGUGGGAGACUACGUAGUUUUUUUUUUCCAAGACCUACUCCAAAAUAAUUUGACAGCCAAUGCUUUUUGAAAUUGUGCAACAUCAUCUUGUUGGCAAUAUAAAUUGACAUCAAGUCAGUGGGCCAGGACCUCCAAGAACUGCAACAAAAAUGCUCCACAAUCACCACUAAAAAAAUUCAUAUAAAUCAAUCGUUAAAUAUGACCAUUGUUGUUGUUAAGUCAAAAAAAUAUAAUUUCAGUUUGUAGUAAAAAUAAUACUUCAAACUUAUUAUCACUGUCGUAAUAUAUUAUCAAUCUAUUAAAUGAUCACACAACAUAAAAGCAACAGAUAUGAGAACGUUUUACAACUUAAAAAUGUUCUAUAUAUAAGACAACAUGACUUUCUUACAACUAGUAUCUACAGGAUCAGCAUAACUAUAUUAUUUCAAGAACAAACCCAUCAAAUUAAAAUAUAUUGCCAAUAACUAUGAACUCAAAUAAUUUUUAAAUGAGUUAUAAACAAAAAUAAGAAAUAAACCAUCACUGCCACAUGACAUAAAAAUCAAACUUUAUGUAUCAAGUAUGUUAACAAUUCCAAAUAAAGUAUAAAUAUUCAAAGAAAAUGUUGAAUUUUUCCAUAACACUCAAACAAUUAAUUUUCAUUAGUUCAAUCUGAUUAAUAAGCUAUUAAGUAUGUGUAUAAUUGUCAAAAACUAAAAACAAGUCUAGGAGGAGUGUAUUAAAGGGCAAUUCUCCAAUAGUUAACUAGUUGGAAAUAUAUACAACAACAUUUGCUGCACAAUAAUAUCAAAUCCUAAAUGCUAUGUGACUUCUUCAAUCAAUAGCCUCACAAUGAGACAAAUUAAUAAAAUGAUCGAACAUUGUUUCAAAAUUCACAAGUCGUUCAAAACACAUUUAUUAAUAGUGUACUAUCAAUAGUUUUAUGCUGAAACAAAUAACAAAUUGUUAAUAAAUUAGAAUUGCAAAAUAAAGGUUCUAUAGCAAAUAAUAGAGAAAACCCAGAUUGUAGCAUAAUGAAUGCAUACGCCGCUGAAGAAAAUUGAUAUAUAAUUCCCAUGGAUGAAGUUCAACUACAAACAACAAGUAAAAUUAUAUAAAGAUCUAAUGCAUAAACUAGUGUAGCCAUAACCGAGUAUUCAUAAGGAUAAUAUUUGUUUCAUCCAAUUCUCUAUGAAUAUUUAAUUAGGAACUCCCACAACCAUUAUUAAAGAGCCAUGAAAUCACUCUCUUCAAUUUCAAAUCCACAAGUUCAUUAAGAACAGUGGUACUCCAAUAACAUCAAAAUGGUUGGUGACCACUCUAUCAAAUCCACACAAUAGCUGAUAUCUCAUGUUUGCAUAUAGUCCAAUGAAAGCACCAUAGCCAGGCUCUUUAGUACUUACAGAUGGGAUUGUCACAGCUAACCUGUCAGACAUCAAAUAUGGCCUAAAUUUACAGAUGGGGUUGUCGCGUUAGUGCUUAGACAGUAAACAUUUGCUCUAGUAGCCUGAUUACACAAGAAAUCGAGACAAGUGUUCAAAAUUUUAAUCUUUAUAUAUAGCCAAAAUGAUAAUGUAUUUGAUAAUACUGACCUGAGUUAAUAAAUACGGGGCUGGUGACAAUCACAGCAUCUCAUCAUGUGGGCAAAGCCUUCGCAACAGAAGACGCUGCUUGCUUUGAAGCAAUAAUAACUUUCCAAUUCCAUAAGGUAGCUUAAUGCCCUUUUAGGAUAUCAGCACCAGCCUAACAAUUAUUCAUGGAAAUUCGAUUUGCAUUUAUCACCUUUAAUUUGCUCAUAUUUGCCUAGAGUAUUGUUUUUGCGUUAACUUAACAAGCUUGCAAGCCACCUACAAAUGGUUUUAAAUAAUGUGUGAGAGUGUGAAAUCGAACAAAUUAAUCAAAUAUGAUGACAGAAGAAACAAAAGCAAAACAACCACAAGACGUAGAAAUUCACUUUUGUUAUAUUUAGAGCAUCUUCUACCGUCUUCUUUUCCUUUAGCUCUGUUUCUGUGUGUGUUCAAACGCAAUGCCUCAAGGCUCAAGAUAACUUUUUGACCAUCAAUCUUUUGCAGCCAUGUGCAGACUUGAAACACUGUAGUGUCCCUAAGUAACUUGAAAAUUAGAAAGUUUCAGUAUGAGUGACUAAAUAUGAUAAUCGAAACUAAUUUAAUAUACACACCUUGUAAAUCUGAAACUAAAUUACUCAAAUGUAUAUGCCUCAUCGCAGCAAUUGCUUGUGGUGGAAAGUUUACUGCAAAGACUUCCUCAAACCCUUGAAGAUCACACUCUUCCUGGCAACAAAGAAACAGAGUUAAUGUACGAAGAUGAUUUUACUAACAAGUGAGAGCUUGCAAAUAUUGGAAGGAUAACGAUUACUCAUAACCCAAAUCCCCAAUACACUCUAUUAUCUCACUCAAGUGAGUUCAAGCUCCCAAAAUUCACUACAGUGAAACUCUCACAACAAAAUUCUAUUCAAAGAUUCUCUACUCAAAUUUGAUUAAGCUGCUUAGAAUCCUUAACCUGAUAACUUACACAAACAAAAACAACUUGCCUAAAGUUUAAUAUUUAGAGGCAGAACAGUAAAGAAGAAGAUAUAUAUUGAUACUAAAAUUUGACCUGUAUUGCCCUGAUGUCAAGAAUCACGGCAUCUUAUGUGGGCAAAAUCUUCACAAUACGAGAUGCUUGCAAAAUUGAAGCAGCAUCUUAUCACCUGUAAUUUAAUUAAGACAAUAACUUUCCCCAACUAUUUCAAUGCAUUAUUGGCAACUAAAUUCAGAGAGCGCUAAUUAAAUAUCCUUUUAAUAAUAUCUUCUUAUUCUUCUCCAAUCUAACAGUUAUUUGGAAAUCUGAAAAGAGGUUCAACAUUUUACAACCAAUCAAAAAUCACUGAACCAUUGGAAAGUGAUUUACGUAUAAUUUUUUUUUCCAAACUCUGCCCAAAAUGAUGAAUGAGAUAGGAUGACACAAGAAACAAAUGUAAAUUGACCGCAAGUAGAAAUAUACUUCUAUUAUAUUUGCAACAUCUUCUAGUGUCAAUUGCUUUUCCUUGAGCUCUGUUUCUGCAUGUGCUCUGUUAAGGAAGUCCAAUAUGCUGAGCUCACAGAGAGUAGGAGUAAGAAGGAGAAGAAGCUUCAGUCUCAGUCAGUCAAACAUUUCAGCAAUGCCAGCUCAUCAGAGUUAGUUAAGCAAGUUGCCAGAUCAGCACAAGAUGGUUAAGCUUGUUAUCAGUCAUUUCGUAUGUGUGUGUAACUGAAUGUAAUUAGCUUAAGCUGUAAUCUUGUGCGUGUAUAUAAGUUUAGUUGAUUCAAUUGCAAAGGUUAAGAAAAAUCAAUAAGAAAUAAAGUGAUCUUCUCUCUGAAAAUAAUUUUCCUAAAAAACAAACAACUCAUUUUCUCUUUCAUGGUAUCAGAGCCAUCCAUGGCUAGUUCCAGUACAAUAAAUCAAAAUUGUUCAAAUUUCAAUCAAAUGCAUUCCACACAAACUUCAUUUACCUUUGCCACAACAGUAAAACUCGAUCGAUCAAACUUCCUUCUCUGGCGCAAACAAGUGAUUACUUCAAUCAGAGGGAAUCGACUUGAAGGAUUAAUCUCAGAAAAACAAAAUGUUCCAGAGCAAUAUGUUUCUCAGUCCCAAGCUGAUGGAUCUGUGGAAAGGAUUGAAAAUCCAGCUUAUGUCAACUGGAGAGCUCAAGAUCAGACUCUACUUAGCUGGCUUCUAUCAACAAUCAGUGAAGGUAUCUUAAGCUUAGUUCUUAACCAUGAAACUUCUUUUGAUGUAUGGAGAUCUAUUGAAAAGCAAUUUGGAGUACAAUCUAAAGCAAAAAUAAUGCAACUUCGAUAUGAAUUAGAUACUCUGAGAAAAGAGUCAAUGUCCAUUGAAGAAUAUUGUUCGAAAAUGAAAAUGCUAGCUAAUAAACUUGCAUGUGCUGGAGAUAACAUAACUGAAAAGGAUUUGCUGAUAAGGACACUAAAUGGACUUGGAUCUGGCUAUCUAGAUCUGGCUUCAAUAAUCACAGCCAAUAAGAUGAGUUAUGAUGAUGCGUAUGCACUUUUACUGACACAUGAAGCUAGGCUGGAACAAAAUCAGAAUCCUCAGGCUAUGUUUAAUGCAAAUUAUAGUAUGAUGAAUACAAAUUAUUCACAUAUGAGAGGUGCUCCUAGGAGAAAUGCUUAUGGUAAUAGUAGUGCCAUUUAUGGACAAUCUGGAGGCAGAGGUCAGAUUUUUGGUCGAGGCAUGUUUUCUGCUUCUUAUCCUAGAGGAUUUCCAGCUGGUGGUAAUACUGCUAGUGGUUUUGGUAGAGGAAAUGUUGCAGGUUUUGGAAGAAAUCAGUUCAUGCAGUCUCAUAGGCACCACAAAUGAGGCAUAUGUUCACUCCUGCUAAUACUUCAAAUGUUUCUGAAUCAAGUGAGCCAUUACCUAUAUGUCAAAUAUGUCAUAAGCAAGGACAUACUGCUGAUGCAUGUUGGUAUAGGUAUGGUGAUGCUUAUUUUUCCUCACCUAAACAAUUUGGAAGAGGAAAAAUGAUGGGAUCUAAGACUGCAUAUAUGGCUAAUUUUGAGCCAUUUCCUUAUCAACCAUCUUCAUUUGAAGAUCCUUAUGAAAUCUCAGACUCUAGCUGUCAGUUCAUGAACUAUUCUCCUGUUUCCUCUUAUCCAUCAGAGGCUUUUACUCUGCCUGAAGCCUAUGUUGCAAAUGUUGAAGGCUCAACUGAUGAAGGGUGGUAUCUUGACAGUGGAGCUACACACCAUAUUACCAACAACAUGGCAAAUAUGCAUGUGAGAGAAGAAUUCAAAGGCUCAGACCAAUUGACCAUCGGCAAUGGACAAGGUUUGAUCAUUACUCAUAUUGGUGAUGCAUGCUUUAACCAUAAAAGUUUCAAAUCUGCCUACAAACACACACCUGUAGCACUCAAGGAUAUUUUGUUAGUUCCCUCAAUUACUAAGAAUUUGAUAAGCAUAUCCAAAUUGACCACUGAUAAUAAUCUUUCCAUUGAAUUUGUUGGCAAUAAUAAUCUUUCCAUUGAAUUUGUUGGCAAUGUGUGUUAUGUAAAGGAUUUACUGAAGGGACAAGUACUUCUGCAAGGUCUUGCUGAGAAAGGAUUGUAUAGGCUGCUGUUAAAAUCAUCAGAGUCAUCACAGUCUCCCUCUUCCUUCGUGUGUCAAGUUUCUUCAAAUCAGCCUCUGUCUAUGUUAUCAACAUGUCAUGUUUCUUUUCCUAUUUCAAAUAAUGUUCAGAAUAAACACUCAAGCUCUAAAGCUUGUUUUCAAACUGAUGUUUCCUCUUGUAAUUCAUUUGUCAAUAAAGUUGAUCUUCUUCAUAGAAGAUUUGGUCAUCCUCAUCAUAAUGUCUUCAUGCAUUUGCUUAAGAAUGAUCAAACUAUUAAUCUCUCAUCUUCUCUUAUUAACCAAGCUGCACAACAAAUAUGUGAUGCAUGUCAAAUGGGAAAAAGUCACAGGUUGCACUUCCCUGUCUCAGAAACCAAAACUUCUCAGGUGCUUGAACUAAUUCACACUGACUUAUGGGGCCCUUCACCUAUCCUUUCUAAAGCUGGUUAUGUCUAUUAUAUCAGCUUUGUUGAUGACUUCAGUAGAUACACCUGGAUUUAUCCAUUAAAAUUGAAAUCAGAAGCCCUACAAGUCUUCAAAUUGUUCAGAUUGCAAGCUGAAAAACAAUUUCAAAGUCCCAUUAAAAUGCUGCAAUCUGACUGGGGGGAGAGUAUAGAGCAUUUACUGAUUUUCUGAACCAAAAUGGAAUCAUGUUCAGACACUUGUGUCCCUAUACACAUCACCAAAAUGGGGUAGUUGAGAGGAAACAUAGGCAUGUUGUUGAGUUAGGACUCACACUUCUAGCUCAAGCUAAAUUACCUUUAAGUUUUUGGUGGGAAGCUUUUCAAACAGCAGUUUACCAUAUUAACAAGUUGCCUUCUACAACUCUGAAAUUCUUUACUCCAUAUGAAAAAUUGUUCAAACAUAAACCAGACUACAAAAUGCUUAAAUGUUUUGGCUGUGCAUGCUAUCCAUAUUUGAGAGAUUAUAACAAGCAUAAGUUUGGCUACCAUUCUAGCAAAUGUAUUUUCAUUGGGUACAACCCUUCUCAUAAAGGGUACAAGUGUUUGCAUCCAUCUGGUCAGGUUUAUAUAGCAAGACAUGUUGUCUUUGAUGAGUCUUCUUUUCCUUAUUCCUCAGAUUCUGCUUUUGCUUCUAAUAAAUCAAACUCAUGUCAAAACUUGUCUUUCACUCCUCAGCAAGUGUAUCAUCUAUCCACUUUGCCAUUAUUCUUAACUUCAGAUGAUAACAGCACUCAUAAUCCUAACUCUGCAAGCUCUACCAGUAGCAGUUCUCAUCAUUCAGUUUCUCCUAAUCAUAACAACAAUUCUCAUCUAUUGUCCCAAACAAACACAUUACCAAUCACUAAUACAGAGCCUAAUACAGAACUUCAUACUUCUUUACCAGUUCAGCCAAUCACCACCAACAGACCUCCCAUUUUUCAAACAUUACCUGAAACAAAUCAAAACACAUUAGCUCCAGAAAACACACAACAAUCCAAAACUCCUUUAAACACACGUCCUAUGACCACUAGAGGUAAGAUUGGCAUUUUCAAGCCUAAGCUCUACAAUGUAGCUCUUGUUCAUAAAGAGCCAGAAUCUGUAGAAGAAGCUAUGCAGAAUCCUAAAUGGUUUGAAGCUAUGAAUGAAGAAUAUAGUGCUCUGCUCAAGAACAAUACAUGGUAUUUAGUUCCAAGAUCUGAUGGUCAGAAGAUUGUUGGAAACAAGUGGGUAUAUCGAGUUAAGCAUAACUUAGAUGGAAGUCUGGCCAAGUACAAGGCCAGAUUAGUUACUAAGGGUUUUCAACAAAUUGCAGGGGUAAAUUACUUUGAAACUUUCAGUCCAGUGGUAAAAUUAGCUACUGUUAUAGUAGUGAUUAGUUUGGCUGUUAUGAAUCAGUGGCAAAAUCAGGCAGGUAGAUGUUAAUAAUGCCUUUCUUAAUGGGGAGUUAACAAAGAAGUUUUUAUGGAUCAGCCAGCAGGUUUGUUGACAGUCAAAAACCAAACUUUGUGUGUAAACUCCAUAAGUGGCCUCAAGCAAGCUCCACGAGCUUGGUAUGAAAAGUUAAGAAGUUGUUUGUUACAGUGGGACUUUGAAAACUCAAGAGCUGACACUUCUCUGUUCAUCAAGAAAACCAGCUCAUAUAUGAUAUUGGUACUGAUUUAUGUUGAUGACAUCUUAAUCACAGGACCAGAUAGUGCAGAACUAGAAUCUUUCAUUGCCAAAUUUAAUGCAGUUUUUGCACUAAAGGAUUUGGGUACUCUCUCUUAUUUUCUGGGCAUAGAAGUCUUAUAUGGUGCAGAUUGCAUUUAUAUGUCUCAAAGGAAAUACAUAAGAGAUCUAUUGACUAAGGUUCAGUUGCUUGAGUGUAAAGAGAUUGACACACCUUUGAGUACUGGAAUUAAGCUGCAAAAGGAAGCUCAAGGAUAUCUAGGCCAAUAUAUUGCUGAUGCUACACAUUACAGGAGCAUUGUAGGAGGGAUGCAAUAUUUGGUUUUAACAAGGCCAGAAAUUGCCUUUGCUGUAAACAAGUUAAGUCAGUAUGUUUCAAGUCCUACAAUGCAACAUCUUAUAGCCUGUAAGAGAGUGCUUAGAUACUUAAAGUCUACUCAAGAUUAUGGACUUAAGUUUGUUCAAAAUGGAGAAAUGAAGAUUACUGGAUUCACUGAUGCAGACUGAGCUUGUGAUUUAGAUGAUCGAAAAUCUGUUGGAGCCUAUUGCAUCUACUUAGGUAAUAAUUUGAUUUCAUGGUCAUCCAAGAAGCAAUCAGUCAUUGCUAGGUCUAGUGCUGAGAGUGAGUACAGGGCCUUAGCUUCAGCUAGUGCAGAGAUCAGCUGGUUACAAUAUUUAUUUUCUGAAAUUGGUUUGUGUUGUUCAGAGAUACCUACUGUCUGGUGUGACAAUACCAGUGCCACUGAGCUUAGCUCAUAAUCCUGUUUUCCAUUCUAGAACUAAACACAUCGAGCUUGACUUACACUUCAUCGGAAACAAAGUGAUUGCAGGGGAGUUAAAAAUUCAGUACAUUCCCAGUGAAGAACAGAUUGCUGAUAUCAUGACAAAACCUCUUUCGUUUGUUCAUUUUAACUAUCUGAGAUCAAAACUCAAUGUGCAGCCUUACCCCUUGAGUUUGAGGGGGGCUGUUAAGGAAGUCCAAUAUGCUGAGCUCACAGAGAGUAGGAGUAAGAAGGAGAAGAAGCUUCAGUCUCAGUCAGUCAAACAUUUCAGCAAUGCCAGCUCAUCAGAGUUAGUUAAGCAAGUUGCCAGAUCAGCACAAGAUGGUUAAGCUUAUUAUCAGUCAUUUCGUAUGUGUGUGUAACUGAAUGUAAUUAGCUUAAGCUGUAAUCUUGUGCGUGUAUAUAAGUUUAGUUGAUUCAAUUGUAAAGGUUAAGAAAAAUCAAUAAGAAAUAAAGUGAUAUUCUCUCUGAAAAUAAUUUUCCUCAGAAACAAACAACUUCAUUUUCUCUUUCAAAAUGCAACACACAUACCACAAGAUAUAAUUAUCAACAGGAUCUCCCUAAGUUACAUGCAUGUAACUUAGCAUUAGCCUUAUCAACAUGAAUCUUUUGCCGCCACAUGCAGCCCAAAACUGUUUAUGGCCAUAAAGAACGGGAUAAUCAGAAAUCAUUAACAACGAGAGAAAUCAUUUUAAUCGCAGCCAAACAUACACACUAAGAAAAUCUAAAAUUUAAUUUCUCCCAAUGAAUGUGCCUCUUCACAGCAAUUGCACUAGCUAAUCCCAGCAGCCUGCGUCAUGGAGCUUCUCCCAAUGAGUGAGUGAGCCUUCAACAAUUAUCACUUAGCUCAAACUAAAAUGAAAUUAUUGUGGACAUCUGAAUUAAAAAUACAUGUAAAAGCAGUUUUCUCAAAGCAAGGUCAAGAUAAGAGAUUAACUCUGCUCCUUAUUUACAUUAAAAAUAACAAACAAUGAAAAACAAAGCUAGAGAAGAACUUACCUGUGCAUUGAGACCAUGUGGGGAAUGUGAGAUGUCUUCUUAUAUUUGUUUUGAGAAACUCCAUCUUCUUCUGAAAGUUCUGACAGUUCUGACAGUUCCCUAAACCCAGGCCAAUACAAUUGCAACAGAAACUGCAUGCAUUAAGCAGCAUCUGAUCAUCUCCUGUUAUUUCAAGAUAAUAAUAACUUAAUUGCAACACUGCAUGCUUCAACCAUUAACCUUUUCAACUUCAACACUUCUUUUGUCCCCCUCCCGAUGCCCUUUUCACAAUUCUAUGAAUCAGAUAAAUCAGCCUUCUUCGCAAAACUAUGAAAAACUUUUCACCGUGUUCCACACAUUCCGGGAUUAGUAUUGAUAACAAACAUUUGAUGAAGACCCUGCCAAUUAAAAUUUCGGUCCCCAUGUAGCAGAAUUUCUUAUUUUUCCUUUGUACACAAAUGCAGACACUUACGCAAAUUAGGAUUUCUUUUGACCCUGCAAGUUACAAUUUCAGUCCCCAUGUAAUAGAAACAUUUUGUACACAUAUUUAUAGCAAACUAAUAUUUCAUACCUCACAAUAUUUAUCAUAACCAUCAAUCUUUAGAAACCACAUGCAGACUUUUUAACUGUUUAUGGCCCAAAAUAACAGGAAAAUUAGAACAGAUUUUUAAGAAUGAGCCACUACAUAUUUCAAUGGCAACUAAAAUUACACAUCUUGGAAAUCUAAAACUCAAGUACUCAGAAUGAAUGUGCCUCUUCACAGCAAUUAAACAAGCUGGGAACUUUAGUGCAAAUGCUUUUUCAUAAUCUUCAAUUGCAUAAGUCAGUAAGAAUCAAUCUUUCUUAAUCUUUCAAUUCACACAUGAGAGCCUGGUAACACAAGGAAACACUGUAAGUGAAUUGUCAACUCUGACAUAUUUUGGGUAAAAACUAUCAACUGUAGUUAUCCGCAUAACAUAUAGUGUCAACACCAAAUUCCUUCCUGAUUCGUGGAAGCAUUUCAGCCCACAGACGGUUUGGUUUGUCAAUAUAUAUCAAGCUUUGUAGCUUUUAAGAAACUGACAGGUGAAAGACCUGGAAUUUUCGAUAGCAACUCAGGAUUCUAUAUUUAAACUAUGAUGUUUGAUAACUUGCUGAUACAAAAGACAUUGCCCCAAGCACUUUUUUACAGGAGCUAAACUCAAGCAAGUCACUUCCAUUUGUUGCAGUUUUAACGCAGAAAGAAAAGGGAGAAAAAAAUCUGCAAGAUACCGCAUGUUCGCAGAAGCAGAGUUGAAUAAUUACAAAAUUACAUUCUUGAUUGCACAGAAAUGAUUACAAAAUUACUUUCCAAUUUCAUAAGGUAGCUUAAUGCCCUUUUAAGAAUAUCUACACCAGCCUGACAAUUAUUCAUGGAAAUUCAAAUUCAAAAUCAUGUUCCUAUGAGAGAUGAAAUGUAAUGAGCGACUUGGCCACUAUAUAUGCAUUUAUCAUCUUCAAUUUGCUCAUCUUUGUCUAGAGUAUUGCUUCUGCGUUAACUUAAUUAGCGUGCAAGCCACCUGAAAAUGGUUUUAAAUUAUGAGAAAGAGUCUGAAUUCGAAAGAAUCAAUCAAAUAUGAUGACAGAAAACACAAAAGUAAAAUAACCAAAAGAAGUAGAAAUAUACUUUUGUUAGAUUUAGAGCAUAAUUCUUCUGUCAAGUUCUUUUCCAUUAGCCUUGUUUCUGUGUGUGCUCAAACGCAAUUCCUCAACGCUCAAGAUAGUUCCUGCGGACCUGAAAAACUAGUUGUGGCCAUAAGGAACUUGAAAAUUAGAAAAGAUUCAGAAUGAGUGACUAAAUAUUUUAAUCAAAACUAAUUAAACCUACACUCCCUGAAAAUCUGAAACUGAAUUACUCAAAUGAAUAUGCCUCUUCACAGCAAUUGGUUGAAACUUUACUGCAAAGACUUUUUGAAACCCUUGAAGAUGAUACUCUACCUGAUAACACAAGGAAACACAAUCAAUAUAAGAAGAUGAUUUUACAAACAAAUGAAAGCUUGCAGUUAUUGGGAGAGCUCUACUCAAAUUUAAUGAGAUAUCUCUCAGGAGGGAGAGCUCUAAUAAUAUAUAAAGCCAAAAAUCUGAAAAUGUCUAACACUCAUCAAAUUGGCUUGUGAAGAAUUAAUCUUCCUUGCCAUCAUACAUGCCAGGUGUGGUGAACAAUCUUCAUUCUGACAUUUGCCUUAAUAAGCUGCUUAGUAUCCUUAACCUGAUAACAUACACAAACAAGAACAACUUUACUAAAGUUUAUUCUUUAAAGGCAAAACAGUAAAGAAGAUGAUAUAUGCUGAUACAAAAAAUUGACCUGAGUUAUCCUGAUGUCAAGAAUCACAGAACCUCAUGUGGGCAAAAUCAUCGCAAUACAAGAUGCUGAAUUCAAGCAACAUCUUAUCACCUGUAAUUUAAUUAAGACAAUAACUUUCCUCAACUAUUAUCCUUCUCAAUUUCAAUGUAUUAUUGGCAACUAAAUUCAUAGGGGACGUAGCUAAUUAAAUGCCCUUUUAACAAUAUCUUCCCCACCUAACAAUUAUUUGGAAAAUCUAAAUGACAAUCAUGCAUUGAUGGCAUAAAAAAUUGGCCACAAAGCUGCCUACAAAAAGGCUUUAAAUUCUUAAUGAGACAACGUAUUCGAACAAAUAUGGUGAAUGAAGAGACAAAGGCAUAACACCUCAAGAAGUAAAGCUCUGUUUCUGUAUGUGCUCAAACCAAUGGAAACCCAUGGAAAUGAAUUUCUACUAAUUAGACAUGUCAGCCAAAACAGGUACUCUGUACAAGCAAAGUAAAAGAGAGUUACAAAAAAAUUUUAAGAUAAUUAAACUUUCAGUCACCAUAUAAUUAAUAGAAAACUUUGUACACAAUGAUUUAUUGGAGAUUAAGAUUGUAUACCUAAGUUUUAAUUGCAAACUAAAUAUACACAACAUGAUAUUAGCAUUAGAAGACCGCACCAAAACGUACCGAAUUAAAUGUACAUCUUCACGGCCAUUGUACCAGCCUAAUCCUUGAUUACACCAAUGUUCUCCAUAGGGUCUUCAAAGUCAACCUAAAAAUAAAAUGAAAAUGCAAUGCAUUAUUAUUAGGGAUCUAGUGCUUGAGCUUGCUUUGACAUCAUGGUAUUAGCAAAUUCUGAUAUAGCCAAAAUGGUGAAUAAGAUGACGUACUUGAUAAGAAAAACCUGAUUUAACAAAUAAUUAAGGAGCAGGUAACAAUCACAGAAUCUCAUCAUGUGGGGAACGCCUUGGCAACAGAAGAUGGUGCUUUCAUUCAAGCAAUAGCAACUUUCCAAUUUCAUAAGGUAGUUUAAUGGCCCUUUUAAGAACAUCUGCACCAGCCUAAUAAUUAUUCAUGGAAAUUAAUAAUCAGAAUCAUGUUAGAUUGAGAGAUGAAACAUAAUAAGCGAUUUGGCCACCAUAUAUGCAUUUAUCACCUUCAAUUUGCUCAUCUUUGUCUAGAGUAUUGCUUCUGCAUUAACUUAAUUAGCUUGCAAGCCACCUGAACAUGGUUUUAAAUGAAGUGUAAGAGCUCGAAUUCGAACGAAUUAAUCAAAUAUGCUGACAGGAGAAACAAAAGUAAAAUAACCACAAGAAGUAGAAAUAUACUUUUGUUAUAUUCAGAGCAUCUUCUAGUGUCAAGUAAAAUAAACGCAAUGGCUCAAGGGUCAAGAUAAUUUUAUGACCAUCAAUCUUUUUGCAGCCACAUGCAGACUUGAAAAACUGGUCGUGGCACUAGGGAACUUGAAAAUUAGAAAAGAUUCAGAAUGAUUGACUAAAUAUUAUAAUCGAAACUAAUUAAACAUACAUGCCUAGAAAAUCUGAAACUGAAUUUCUCAAAUGUAUAUGCCUCUUCGCAGCAAUUGCUUGUGGUGGAAACUUUACUGCAAAGACUUUCUCAAACCCUUGAAGAUCACACUCUACCUGAUAACAAAGAAAGAGUCAAUAUACGAAGAUGAUUUUACUAACAAGUGAGAGCUUACACAUACUGGAAGGAUAAUGAUUACUCAUAACCCAAAUCCCCAAUACUCCCUAAUAUCUCACUCAAGAGAGUUCGAGCUCCCAGAAUUCACUACUGUGAAACUCUCACAACAAAAUUCUCUUCAAAGAUUCUCUACUCAAAUUUGAUGAUGAUGUCCCUCGAAAGGAGGCAAAAAAUCUAACACUGAUCAAAUUGGCUUGUGAACAAUUAAUCUUCCUGGCCAUCAUGCAUACCAGGUGUGGUGAGCAAUCUUCAUUCUGACAUUUGCCUUAAUAAGCGGCUUAGUAUCCUUAACCUGAUAACUUACACAAACAAAAACAACUUGAUUAAAGUUUAAUAUUUAGAGGCAGAACAGUAAAGAAGAUGAUAUAUAUUGAUACUAAAAUUUGACCUGUGUUAUCCUGACGUCAAGAAUCACAGCAUCUCAUGUGGGCAGAAUCUUCGCAGUACAAGAUGCUUGCAAAAUUGAAGCCGCAUCUUAUCACCUGUAAUUUAAUUAAGACAAUAACUUUCCCCAACCAUUUCAAUGCAUUAUUGCCAACUAAAUUCAGAGGGUGCUAAUUAAAUAGCCUUUGAACAAUAUAUUCUUAUUCUUCUCCAAUCUAACAAUUAUUUGGAAAAUCUAAAUGACAAUCAUGCAUCGAUGGCAUCAAAAUUUGGCUACAAAGCAGCCUGGAAAAGGCUUUACUCUCUGAAUGAGAGCAUGAAUUCGAAACAAAUAUCAUGAAUGAAGAAACAAAGGCAUAAUACCACAAAAAGUAAAACUUUUUCCCAGGGCUCUCUGUUUCUGUUUGAACUAAAACCAAUGGAAACCGAUCGAAAUGAAUUUCUAGGAAUUUGACAUAUUAGCCAAAACAGGUGCUCUGUACAAGCAAAGUAAAACAGGGUUACAAAAAAUUUUAAGAUUGAUAUGAUAAUUAAAAUUUCAGUCACCAUAUAAUUAAUAGAAAACUUUGGACACAAUGAUUUAUUGCAUAUUAAGAUUGCUAUAUAAAAUAUAAUAUUAGCAUUAGGAGACCGCACCAAAGCAUACCGAAUUGAAUGUGCCUUUUCACAGCCAUUUUACAAGCUUUGAAGCUUUACCACAAAUGCUUUUUCCAACCCGUGAACAUGAUGCACCCGAGAGAUGCAAGCUAUGAAAUUGUUACUACAGCAAGCCAUUUUACAAGGAAGUUUAUGAAAAUAUGCCUUUGGAAACCCGUCUUCAGGAAUGAAUUCAUCCGCAAUAACAAUUUUCAAGACGUAUCAACUGCUUCAAGCUCAUCCAAUAGAGCAGAUCCCGCCUGACGAACAAGGAGGGCUAUUCUGAUUUUUUCUUGAAUCCCUGGUGAACAUAAUUAAACUCGUAUGAAAUAAAACAAAGUGGGCUAAUGUACUACUAAAAACAAUUACACAAUUACUUUAAAGAAUUAAUGUCACAUAAAUUAUAUAUAAAAAAAUACGAUUAUCAUUAUACAAGAUAAAAUUGAUGAUUUAGUUUUCAACAUUUCUGCAAAUGUAUCACAGAGAUUUUGUCUCUCAGGAAGUUGCACAUAACAAAUUUUCGUGCAUUAAAAAAUAAAAUAUAUUAGGAUUUUCUAUGAUGUUGUAUGAAAUUUUACAAAAGACUACAUUUUUUUUUUAAAGAAAAUAUAGAAAUUUCAUCAGACUACACUUGUUUUUUUUAUUUAAUCUUUAGAAAACAAGUUUAACUGAUUUGAUAACUAGGAAGUUUAAAUUUUAAAUAAUUAAAAUUAAAAUAUUAUCCUAACUAACUUUUAAUUUUUUGAACUAUUGAUUAAAUCUAACAGUAAAUAUUUAUACCAUGAUUGAUUUUAUAAUUUUUAUAACAAUAUCAUAAAGUGACCUAUUAAAUUAAUGGUUCAAGUAAAUAAUUGAAUUCAAUACGCAAAUCAAAAUAUUAGAAAAUAUUAUAUAUUCCCAUCAGACAUUGGCAAUAUACAGAAUUUUAAUUCAAAAUAUAAAUAUUUUUAUUAAUUUCAUUGCAAGCAACAACAGGGUAAAUCAGAGGAGGAGAAAUUACCGUCGGGUGACAUCUGGAUGUGGGGAAUGUGAGAUAUCUUAUGCCGUGACAUCUGGAUGUGGGGAAUGUGAGAUAUCUUAUGCCUGUCUUCUCCUUUCCCCUCUCUAUAACGGUUUUCCAGAAUGGGACAUCCCCAAAUUUUCAAUUCCUGCAGUGCCGUCGUCUGAAGAAGGUAAUCCGGCAGCGCCUUCAAUUUGGGGCAAGACUCAAUCGACAAGAGAGAAAGACGUGGCAUGACGGAGAUGUUUUCCUUCCUCGUAAUCCUGUAAUUCCACUCUUCCAGUUCUGUCAUGACGCUAAUUUCGAGUGAUUUCAAAUUGGGGAAGGCAAUAACUGAUGAUGACGAUGAAGAUGAAGAUGGAUCAUCCUCAGUGCUUUCUUCUAUUCCCAAAAACUCAUUACCCACUCUUUUUACACUUUUCAAAUUGUAUAGGGUGAGUUUUUCCAGAGGUAAUUUUCCCAAAGGAGGCAAAUGCUCACAGUCAAUGCACGAGAGAAGUCUUAAUUCGCUUAGAUUGGUUAGUGAAGUCAACCAUUUGGGAAAAAUGUUGCCUCCGUAGAAUCUAAUCCUUAACUCCUCUACAUUCAAAGGCGGUUGUAAGGCUUCAAGAAGUUGUUCAUCUUUCUCAUUCUUCCUCCUCCCUUCUUCGCCUUCCCCAUCUACAACUCUACCAAACUGAAGACCCAAACGAAGGAGGUUUUUCUUAUUGUAAAGUUGUAACCUCUCAGCCUCAUCUACAUGCGAUACAUUACUUAGCCCUUGUACUCUACAUUCACGAAGGAGUUGAAGAUUUUUCAGAGAUUCAAGCCUACACGUGCUGCCACCAUCAACACCUCCACCCACAACAAACUUUUCUAAUGUUCGAAGACUGGUUAAUUUGGAAAUCCCUAUUGGCAUGUACUUCAACGAACGAGUUUCACCAUUCAGUAAACUCCUCAUGUUCAUUAACUUCCCAAUCCCCUCUGGCAAUUCUCUAAGAUUUCGGCACAGCCUAAUAUCUAGCUUUUGUAAAUUAUAUAAUUCACACAAAGUCUCAGGUAGUCUCUCUAUGACUAAUUCAGACAAAUUAAGAUAUUUUAAAUGUAUCAAUUUUCCAACAUUUUCUGGAAUUUCUCUAAUCCAAUUUGCCUCAGGAUGCGAACCUAAAAGGUAAUAUUGCCUUAUAACUAAUGCCCUUAAACAUGCCAAUUUACUAAAUAACUCCGAAAGGAUGCUAUUAUUAAGAGAUGGGUUGAAAAGAUUUUCAUCAUAAAUUAAUAGGGUAUGCAAUCUAUUAAGUCCAUGAAUGGACAUAGGAAAUGAAGUGCCUCCUUGAAAAUUUAACCCUAAGUGACGGACUUUGUCACCAAAAGAGUUUAUGACUGAUUCCUUGGUACCAUUAAUUUCUAGCCACAAACAUUCUUUGCUACUUACAAAUUGAGCAAAAUCAUGUACGAUGUCAUGCAUCUUGCAACUCAUAAUAUCAUCGUCAUUUUUCUGAAAUUCUUGAAAGAAAGAGCGUGUAGUUAAGAUGUUGAAAUACUCUUCUCCAAUCAUCUCCAUUUCUUCGUCUUCAUCUGCAUUAAGGUAACCUUGAGCCAUCCAUAGAUUAAUCAAUUCCCUUUUGUUCAUAUUGUAGUCUUUUGGAAAGACAGCACAAUAUGAGAAGCACCGUUUUACCAUAGAAUUGGAGGGCAAAUCAUUAUAACUCAACAACAAAGGAGCCAAAAUACCUUGUCCAAUCUCUUCUACUUUCCACAUUUCACUCUCUAAAAUUCUUUGCCACUCUUUUACUGUACUUUUAGAGCGCAAGAGAUUCCCUAUUACCUUUGCAGCAAGAGGCAGGCCUUUGCACUUACAUGCAAUUUUUCGCCCGAUUGGUUCUAAUUUUUCACAAUCCUCAAAGGACCUACGUAGAAAUGCUAUCUGCUUAAACAGUAACCAACAUUCCCCUUCACCCAACUCCUUGACAGGGAUAAUAUCUAUUGAUCCCAACUGCAGUGCAACUGACCUAUCACGUGUGGUAAUUAGAAUUUUACUUUCAUGGUGGCCAUUCUUUAGACAAGAAAAGAAUGGGUCCCAUUUUUUGUAAUCUCCAUCCCACACAUCAUCUAAAACAAGAAAAAUUUUCUUCCCUGUAAUAUAUUCCUGAAUCUGUUUCAUAAGAGAUUCGAAUUCGCUUAAACCAGAAGCUGACACGCCUAGACCUUCAAUGAUUGCUUUGGCGACCCUAAUCUCCUCAAAAGUGUAUGAUACACACACCCAUAUAACUUUGCCAAAAUUUCUUUUCACCUCAUCAUUAUUAUACGCCAAUUGUGCAAGAGUGGUUUUACCUAUACCCCCCAACCCAACUAGUGAAAUGACAUGAAGGCCUUUUUGUUGUUCACUACUUUCACACAACAACUUGCUUAAGAGCUCAUUUUUCUCCUCAACUCUACCGCAAACCUCUCCCUCAUCAAUCAAGGAGAUGGUUCGCACUCGCUCUGGAUUCCUAACAUUGUUACUCACAUUCUCAACAAAAUUAAACCUAUCUUUUCGAGUGGCAAUUUCAUCUAGCCUUUUACUGAUUUCUCUAAUCUUGACAGCAAUAUGAUGACGAAGACUGAGUUGUUUGAAACCACCAAAGCAGUUUGAGGCAGCAGGAAAGAAGGAACAUACCUUCGUCAAAAAAGUAACAAAAGCACUGUCGUUAUCAUCAUCAUCAUCAUCAUCGCCUCCCUCAUCAAGCUGCAAUUUCCGUGUUUCAGUGAUCCACUCGUCCAACACAUCUUCCAUGUCGUAGGAUGCGUCUCUGAGCUGAUCCAGCCAAAAAGUAACAGC